rnacentral:lncRNA from 1 species
AGCCUCGUUGCACGCCAGGACACCCGUCGCUGCCAGCAGCCGCAGGAGGCGGCCGAGGAACGACUGCUUGGAUGGCGGGAGGGACAGCAUGGUGGCCAGGUCGGCCAACGACGCGGCACCGCCGAGGCGGUGGAUGGCGGUAGGGAUGCCUAGCUGGAUGGCGCACCUUAGCGCCAUUGGUGUGAGGUAGCUGAGGCUGUGGCGCCAAAGGUCUGCCUGCGCCUGGACUAGCUCGGCGUCCGUGGGGAUUGUCAUGGUUUGUGAAGACUCCGCUGCCAUUGCUUUCUCUUUCUCUUGCUAUGAGGCUGGUGUUCCGUGUGUGUGUUGAUUACUUACCUAGCUAGGGCGGUUUAUAUAGGGUGCAUUUUUGCUGCUGCUACAGAAAUUAACAAAGGUUUAAUCAUUCACUCGUGGAACUCGAGGUCGACAUUUUCUUACCGACACUGCUCAAAAUCUGAGCGUGGAACUGUUUGUUGCUGGACAGGGCUAUGAGCGUCGACACGCUCAGGAGAAGAGCGGGUCUGUUUGCUCUGAUUCCUUUCCGCUAUGCUGCCAUACUCCGUCCGUUCCUAAAUAUAAGUCUUUUAAGAUAUUUCAUUAGGAGUCUACAUACAAAACAAAAUGAGUGAAUCUACACUCUAAAGUAUGUCUAUAUACACAGACAGCUCAUUGAUUACUAACUGUAAUGCGAUGUGCUCUUUGAGUACACCCGGCGUACUCUGUCCAUGAGGCUGGUUGUAAUGGAUAUUAUCAUAUACUAGUAUCAUGCAUAUGAUACUAGUGUAUGAUACCACAUCUGUAAUGCAUAAUAUCAUAUGAUAGUAUCAUACGGUAAUUCAUUUAUUGCCAUGCAUGGCACAUAGCAGCACAUCAUUUAAUAUGAUACGGUAUCAUAAUUAAUAUGAUACUCAAUCCUCUCUUUCUUCAUUUAAUUCCAUGCCACCUCAUCAAAAUUGCUUAGUUAGCAUGCAUGAUACUACCUAUGAUAUUCCCAUUACGGACAGCCUGAGUGGAGAUCCAACUCGCCAGGUUGGCUUGGGCUACAUGUUUAGCGAAAUAUGUUGAUGAGGAUCACUUACUUUGUCGAACUAGAUAAUAUCCCUAGCGUUGCUGCUGAAAUUUGUAGCAAUAUAUAGAAUCAUCGAUGCACAUUUUCACCAUGCAUAUAUACGAACAAUAGCACACCCAUAAGUACAUGCUACAAUGCCUUGCUGUCUUCUAGCAUUAGUGGAAUAAUUCUAUGAUGUGGAGGUUUUUCAUGUGCUAGCUAGAAAGUGAAAUGUAUAUGAAUUGUAAUCCCUAAGUUACUUAAUAAAAGCCCAUUAAGAGAUUUCAUUUAUUUUACUUCAUAUCAUCGUAUGUAGUCUGUAUUAGAAUCUUUAAAAGGUCUUCUAUUUAGAAACGAAGGGAGUAUAUGCUUGAUGAUAUGGACGAUCAAUUUGCAUGUGCUUUAAAAUAGAUCAACUACUUAAACUUACAAAGUAGAGGAUAUAGGAUAUGAUUAGCUCUGAAAUAUAUUUUUGUUAUGAAUCCAAGCAGCACUACCUUCCGUCUGUUGAGCCUUGAAUGGAGGCCAAUCAACCUACACAGGUAGCAGCUAGUUAUCACACGUCGCGCGUCAUAAACUGAACAUCCUCGACGACCCGGAAAUAGCAACAGAGGACAGAAUUACUGCAAUCAGUUGUUCUACUAGCUAGCACAUGCAUUGGUCGCAUAAACAAUGAUGAGCGCGUGCAGCGUGAUGCACGAGUGUAUUUUUAUAUGACCUGUGCAAGGGGACUUCCAUUCACGGCUAGGGAUCAAGUUUUACGGUGGUUUGUCUUCUUUUCCCUAAAACGGGUGUAAUUAAUCAUUCAUUAGUAAUCAUCCACCGCACAAGGACCCAUAACGGACACGUGAUUUUAACUGGGAUGCCCUUUAUUUUGACGACUGUGAUCUUUCCAGUUUGGAAGAAAAUUUUACAAAAAUAGAUGUGUUGGCGGUCAUAACGAAAUUGUCCGGGGACAAGGUUCCGAGGCCAGAUGCGUUCACUGACGUAUUCUUCAAAUCAUGCUGGGAGGUCAUCAAGGUGGACUUGAUGAACGCUAUUAACUUCUUCUCCAACCUGCAGACCGCCAAUCCGUAUUGGAUAAACUCAGCAAAUAUAGUUUUACUCCCUAAGAAGGAAGGGGCGGAGGACAUUGCAGAUUUUCAUCCAAUCAACCUUAUUCACUCCUUCGCCAAAAUUAUUGUCAAGAUCAUGGGUAUUCAGCUAGCCCCUUUCAUGAACGGUCUGGUUUCUAGGGCGCAAAGCGCGUUUAUCCAGACUAAAAGUAUUCACGGUAACUUCAUGUUUGUACGAGGGUUCACUCAACGACUACACAUGACAAACAUGCCAUCCUUGCUUUUCAAACUUGACAUUAAGAAAGCAUUUGAUUCAAUUCGCUUGGACUAUUUGCUGGACAAGCUACAAUGCAUAGGUUUCCCUCCCAGAUUCAGGAAUUGGGUGGCAGUCCUUUGGGCAUCAUCAUCUUCGUGGGUGCUUUUGAAUGGCAUUCUGGGAGACCCCAAUAAGCUCGGUAAGGGGCUGUGUCGGGGUGAUACACUAUCCUCUUUUGCUCUUUGUCAUUGCCAUCGAUCUUGUCGAGUAACUACUCGCCAAAGCAACGGAUCAAGGAUUACUGCAUCGAUUGCAUGGCCUUGCCACUACCUUACGCACCUCCUUAUAUGUCGACGACACAACCAUCUUUGUCACCCCCAUCAAAGAGGAUAUAGAGCAGCUGGCGGGUAUUUUGAAAAGUUUUGGAGAGGUUACAGAUCUUGUAGCGAAACCUAUAAAAAGCAUCGUGGCUCCGACCCGUUGCAGUAACAUUGACCUUGAUGAUAUCCUCCAUAGUUUUCCUACCACCCGUGGGGGAUUUCCUCUUUUGUAUCUUGGCCAGCCGCUAUCCACUCACAAACUGAAGAUGGUCGACUGCCAAUUUUUGGUGGAUAAGAUGGUGGCCAAGCUCCCUCCUUGGCAAGGAAACAACAUUAACUCAGCGGGCUGGUCCUGCCUUGUCAAGUCGGUCUUACCUUCACUCAUGAUCUACUCCAUCACCGUGCUUGUCAUUCCACAAGGAAUCAAUGCGAGUAUAACCAAGAUUUAGAGGGCUUUUCUGUGGGUCGGAACCGAUCACGUUUCAGGGGGGAAAAGCAAGGUAAAUUGGAAAACGGUAUGUCGCCCAACCUCUCUUGGAGGUCUUCGAAUCCUUGAUAUGAACAAAUUUGCAAGGGACCUUCGCUUGCAUUGGCUAUGGUUUGCUUGGAUGGAUCCUCACUAUUAGGAAAAAUCCUAGUAGUAGAAAGGAGUAAAGGACUACUAGUAGCGCGGGUGCCCGCGCUAGUACUAGGGACAACUAACUGGUACUAGUAGCGUGGUUGACACCCUGCGCUACUACUACGUCUGUUAGUAGUAGUGCGGGUACCACCCGCAUUACUACUAGUUAUCUGUAGCAUGGUUCUGGACCCCGCGCUACUACUACCUCAUGUCCUCACGAGGCCUUGUCCCGGUGAGGAAGUGCAAGUGGUUGCAUGGCAGAUGUGUCUAUCGCCAUGGACGACGUCCUGCUAGAUCCCCCUCUCCUUCCAGCAUCGGAGAAGGAGGAUGAAGGAGGGCGAGGGGUGCGGUGGGAGAGGAAGUCGCCGGAUUUUGGUGUGAGGCCAGCGCUGGCGGUGGGUGAGGAAGGGCAUCAUGGGGGGAGGGGAGAAGGGGAAUCGAGUGAGUGUGGGUUUGGGUUUGGGUCUCCGCAUGCUAUGUUUACGUACACAUGUGUUGGUGGGUCAAUAGGAGUAGUGUCGGGUUUAUACUCCACACUACUAGUAGUAGUGGUGAAGCCGUGCAUUCGCACGGGCUAGUUGCAAAAUAUUACCUUAGACCUGACUUACCAUACAAACAUAAAGUAUUUGAACAUCACGAGACUUAGUCAUAAGGAUUUUUUUUCCAUGAAUCAGUCAUGGAUACGUCUUACUGAUGAAAAAGUGAGUUGGUACAAAAACUAUAUGUCAAGACAGCACGCUGACAUGCCUUUAUAGUGUUUCUAUUUCCAUUAUAUAUGAACAAAAGGAAUUAAAUCACAAAAUCAUUCAAUUUAUGGAUGGUCACCUUAAGUAUAGUUCUUUUGCCUUGUUUGAGAAGCAUGUGGAGUGGCUGAAUACAUUCCUUAUGUCUAUCUAUGUAUAUAUGGAUUUGAAUAUUCAUGCUGAGUAACUAUUUAGAAAUGUCCACACAGUUGUCGGUGUUAGUUUGUUAUGAAAUUCUCCUUGCGUAUGUUAAUAAGUGACAUUUUUGUUACAACCGGCGUUUGACUUUUGCUAACACGUACCAUCAGCUUCGUUUUUUUGCUACGAUCACGUAGAUAUUUUUUUUGCUACACUUUUUGUUUUCUGUUGCAACCGUUGAAAAAUUUGCUGCAUGGCAUCGAAAUUUUGCUGCAUAGGAAGAAAAAUGUUGCAUGCGGAUCCAACGGUGCGGACGGCGCGGGGUUGGUGGAUCCUGCGACCCGCGCGCGGCCGGCCGAAAAUCUGGGCCGGCACGCCGGCGCAGAUCACCCCCCUAUACGAAAGCACCCCUAAGGUGUCCACUGCCAACAGCUAUGGCAAAUAAAGAAACAGAGAACGCUUGAUAUGAGCCUCCAUUACGCAUAACGCUUGAUAUGAUUACUAAUUCAGUUAGCGUCAAUGCAUCCAUGUUUGACAGAAAGAAUCUGUAGAUGUUUCACAUCCUACUCCACAUUCUAGACCUAUGUAUUAGACCAUUCAAAUACAAGAUUAUAUGCAUAUACCAUAAUGCAAAAUAAGCUUAAUGUCUCAGCUUGUUGGAGCACACAAACAUGGACACUCACACACCGAGUGCCUCAACACUUCUCGAAACUAAUCCACACACAUACGCACGCACACACACACGGACAUACAUAAAAGUAAGGCACCGACGCCUUAUUUAGUUCUUAUAGCACACCACUAAUUUAUACAUACGGAAGGGUUGCCAUCACAUUAUUUGAAGCACAACCUUAUGGAUAGACCUCAAUGACACCUCGAGCUCCCAGUUUCUUGACAAUUUUGUAGUCGCUAAACCCUGCUUUCACAAAGAUGGCAUUCCAAUCCUGCUCAUCCCGCUGUCUUCCCCUAGUAUAUACCAUCAUUGCCAUAUCCAUCAACAGUUGGGUUUCAAACAUCUUUCCUGAAGAAGAGUCGACCACAAUGUCUAUGAUAAUUACUUUUCCUCCCGCUUCUCGGGUAGGAAUGGCCUUCUUGCAUUGGGCUAGGAUAUUGAUGCAAUCCUCGUCACUCCAGAAGUGUAGAACAAGCGGACACGGAAAAAUAUCUAUGUGGUUAAGCAAUGUAUGCGUAUAAUCAAAAGACAUCAAAUUUAUACCUGACUGUUGGUAGUUUUCAUUUAAUUAUAAAGGGUACCUCAAAAGAAUGUGCAUACUAGUGAUCAAACUCUUAAUUUUUACUGUGGUAUAUAUAGAAUCAUGAGCGCUAAAAAAUUAUAGCAUUGUGGAGAAAAAACAUUUCAUACCUUGAGCAUUACAACUUGAGCAGGUGGGAUGGAAUGGAACAUGUCGCCGGCGAUAUAGUUAACGAAACCAUCCCUCGGAGCUUUAUCGAUCACCCUCGAAAGGUCCAACACAUUGCACUUUAUAUGCGGGUAAGCCUUAACGAUGGCCCUAGCUGUCGUUCCAUCACCGCCACAACAGUCGGUGAGCGACUGCAAGCCAUUGAAUAUGCCAUGGCAUUCCCGCAAUAUCGUGCCGAUUCCCAUAUGAUCAUGAGCAGCCAAAGAUUCAUUGAACAGCUUGUCACACUCGGGGUCGAGGGCCGCCAUACUCUCCUCGAAGAGUGCCGCUCCAUGCACAUCCUCGAAUGGUGAUGGCACGGGCGGAGGGAUAUCAUUCUUGAACCAGUCGGCCAGCCCGAUGGCCGCCUCCAUGAAAUGGCGCGAGGUCACGGUGAGCACAAAAGCCGUCUGACUGGCAUCGCCGUCAAUGCGUACACCAUCCACGAGGAGGUAGGACAGUGGGACGAGGCUGUACAUCCCAGCCUCGUUGGACGCCAGGAUACCCGUCGCGGCUAGCAGCCGCAGGAGGCGGCCGACGAACGGCACCUUGGAUGUCGGGAGGGACAGCGCGGUGACCAGGUCGGGUAACGAUGCGGCGCCGCCGAGGCGGUGGAUGGCGGUAGGGAUGCCGAGCUGAACGGCGCACCUUAGCGCCAUUGGUGUGAGGUAGCUGAGGCAGUGGUGCCAAAGGUCAGCCUGCGCCUGGACCAGCUCGGCGUCCGUGGGGGUUGUCAUGGUUUGUGAAGACUCGGCUGCCAUUGCUUUCUCUUUCUCUUGCUAUGAGGUUGGUGUUGUAUGUGUGUUGAUUACUUACUUACCUAGCUAGGACGGUUUAUAUAGCAUGCAUUUCUGCUACUGCUACCAAAAUGAACACUGAUUUAAUUAUUCACUCGUGGAACUCGAGGUGGACUGUGCUCGUCGACAUUUCUUACCCACACACUGCUGAAAAGCUGAGCGUCCACAUGCCUUGUUACGCAGACUGCUCACGAGCAGAGCAAGUCUGUUUAUCAUUCAUUUCUUACCCACACACACUGCUCAAAAGCUCAGCUUGGAGCUAUGCGCGUCCACAUACGGUAAAAUUCACUGUUUUGACUUUUUCAAAAAGUUAAGCCUCAUCUGCCCUGGUUGGAAAAAAAAUCGGAUCUGACCCUUUUGCUACCGCGAGAUACCUUGGCGGUACGGUAUAACAACCAACCACCGAGGCCCCAGACGAUAGGGUUGCACGUCUAACGUAAAAAUAAUUUAUAAGUUGCGGACACAGUGCGCGUGAGUGCCUACCGUCGCACCCCUUGGCGAUAGGGUCACAUGCGCUACCGCCAGCCUCUCUGGCGGUAGGCCAUUUUCCUACCGCCAGGGGUCUCGACGGUAGGUUGUUAUACCCUAUCGCUAAGGGAUCUGGCGGUAGCAAAAGGGCUAGAUCCGAAAAAAAUUCUCAGCAAGGGUCAAAUCCGGCUUAACUUUUUAAAAAAGGUCAAAACGGUGAACUUUACCUCCACAUGCCUUGUUAUCCAGACUGCUAAGGAGCAGAGAGAGUCUGUUUAUCGGUGGACUAUGGACACAUCAGCCUACUCAUAAUCGGAAUGAUCGUAAUGAUAUUAUUUUUAUGAUAUAUAGUAUCAUAAAGUAAUAUCAUAUAUGAUAUUACUUAUAAUCAUGUAGAAGCAUAUCAUUUAAUAUGAUAUGAUCGAUAUCUACCUACGUUAUUCGAACCCUAUUUCUCUUCGUUAAUUCUCUGUCAUUGUUUGUUAUUUUCGAGUGCAUGAUACCGACUAAGGCUAGUCACAAUGGAGAGUAACUUAUACUAGUGACAUAUAUUAGUCUAAGUUACUAUCUUCAUAGUAAUAAAUGUCAUAGAUGUAGUAACAUAGAUGCUUUCAUUUAUUACUUAAUAGAGUCAUUUUGUAUUGAAAACGUUAUGUUAUGAUAACAUAUUAUGUUACUCUAUUUGCCUCUCUCCUCAUUAACUACUUGCCACAUCGUUAUUUUUGCUUAUGUGGCAUCUAUGUUACUCCCACUAUGACCAGCCUAAGAUACCACCACUAUGGCCAUCCUGAAUACAUGAUAGCACCAAGACUCCUUUCUGCCAUACUGCCAGGUAAUCAGUUACACAGAAAGCUCAUUAGUUAUCAACUGUAAUGCCAUGUGCUCCCUAAGACUGACCAUAGUGGGAGUAACUUGAAGAGUAACAUAAGCUCCCAUUCAACAAAAUUGUCUAUAUGGUAUUGAGUUAAUGAGUACAUAGGCAAAUUGAGUAACUUAGCUAGUUAUCGUAACAUCACAUAUCCCAAUACAAUACAAGUCUAUAACCUAAUAAAUGAAGGUUUACAUGACAUCACACUUAUGUUACUAUCCACUAUGAAGGUAGUAAUUAAUGAUCUUAAAAAGUUGGUCAGAAAUUAUUAUCGGGGAGCUUCGAAAGGGAAUAGGAAGGUCCAGUGGAAAUCUUGGCAAAAACUUCAUCAGCCAAAGAGCAAAGGUGGUACAGGCUUCCAUGAUUACCGAUUAUUUAACCAGGCCCUUCUUGCUCGACAAGCCUGGCAACUCUUAACAAAACCUGAAAGUCUAUGUGCAAGGCUGCUGAAGAGUAAAUAUUAUCCUAAUGGCAGAUUGGAAGAAACGGGUUUCUCGGGUAAUACCUCCUCAUCCUGGAUUGCCAUCAGUCAUGGACUUGAUCUGCUUAAAAAAGGCUUGAUAUGGAGAGUAGGCAAUGAGAGCAACAUCCAUAUAUGUCGUGAUGCAUGGAUCCCCAGGCCCUUCUCAUAUAGGCCAACUUUGCUGCAAGGUUCAUGUAGAUAUCGACGGGUCUCCCAACUACUCAGAGAUAACGGCUCAUGGAAUGUGAAACUACUUCAAGAAGCUUUUCUUCCCUGUGAUGUUAAUAAAAUUCUGAAUAUAAGAGCUUCACCAAGAUUAGGCGAGGACGUGCUUGCCUGGGGUCCAACAACUAAUGGUGUUUUCACUGUCAAAUCAGCUUACACUUUGGCCUUUGAGGAAUCGUGUCGGCCUUCUGAAGAAUCCUCUAGUACUGCUCGAGACGGCAGUCGUUCAUGCUGGAAAAUUAUUUGGCAGAAUCUAGUACCUCCCACGGUCAAGAGCUUUGUCUGGCGGGUGGCAAUUAACUCUCUCCCUACUUGAAAGAAUAAACACAAACGGACACUUGAACUCUCAGGGCGUUGUCCGAUUUGUGAUCGUGAGGGGGAGGAUGCUUUCCAUGCCUUGUGUAGAUGCCCUCUGACGGUGAAAAUGUGGAGGUGCAUGUCUAAUGUUUGGUGGUUGCCGAAGCUGGAGGAUAUGAAAAACACUGGUACUGAAUGGUUGCUCCAUGCUCUACAGCCACUAGAAGUGUCUAAGAGAUUCAUGAUGGGCUAUCUUGACUCUCUCUUAACUCUGAAGCUCUCGGAGGAGGAAUGGAUUAAAGGGAAGCAAUCGAUAACAUAUGAACAUGUUACCGAGAUUGUUGUGAGAAAGAACUCAGAUAAUAAUGUUCCAUGGUCGACACCGGUGGAGGGUUGGACAAAACUUAACACAGAUGGUGCUUGGUCUUCUGUUGGUGGCGCGGGAGCUGGUAUGAUCCUCCGUGAUUGUGAGCGUAAGAUCAUCUUCUCAUCUUGUAGGGUGAUGUUUUCUUGCACAAGUGCCCUAGAGGCCGAUCUAUCUGGGAUUGUCACUUUCAAUUCCAAGAAUGGAGCUACCUAUUCACGUGGAGUUGAAUUCAUGGCAAGCUGUGAGAAUGAUAAAUGAUGGAGCCACUGAUCGCUCGGUCUUCUCUUCGCUGGUAGAGGAAAUCAAGCAUGUUAGUAAGCUGCGUGAUACAAAAUUUACUCAUGUUCUUCGUUGCCAAAAUUCUGUUAGCGAUUAUUUGGCUAAGUUUGCUAGGACUCACAAGAGAACUGUCGUUUGGCUUAACUCUAGCUUGUCAGAGAUUAUUGAUCUUUGUAAUACGGAUUGUGGCCGUACCAUUUGAGUAAUACAAAAUUCAUUAGCAAAAAAGGUAGUAAUUAAUAUACUAGGAUAAUGUGUACGUUACUCUUCACUAUGGCUAGUCUAAGUACACCUGGCGUACUCUGUCUAUGGGUCGAAAACUCGAGAUCCAACUCGCUUGGUUGGCUUGGGUUACAUGUUGAGGGAAAUAUGUUAAUGAGGAUCACUUAAUUAGUUAAUUACUCUCUCUGUGUUUCUAAAUAUAAUAUUUUUUUAGAGAUUUCAAUAGGAACUAUAUACGAAGACAAAUGAGUUGAACCUACAUUUUAAAAUACAUCUAUAUAUUGUCUGUAUUGAAACAUUUAAAAAAGGAAAAAAGGCUUAUGUUUAGGAACGAAGGAGAAGAUAAUACUUGUGGGUUGCUGCAGAAAUUUGUAGCAAUAUAUCCAAUUAUCGAUGCACAUUUUCACCAUGUAUGAACAAUAGCACACCCAAAAGUAAACAGAAGGUGUCUACAUCCACAAUGCCUCGCAUCCUUCUAGAAUUAGUGGAAUACUUCGAUGAUGUGGAGGUUUUGCAUGUGCUAGAAAGUGAAAUGUAAAUGAAUUGUAUAUGUUUGAUGAUGUGGACUAUUAAUUUGGAUGUGCUUUAAAAUAGAUCAACUACUUCAAAUUUACAAAAUAGGGGAUAUAGGAUAGGAUUAGGCCGGACCUAGCCUAUCCCCUAAGUUUAGUGGAGUAAACCUACAUUUUGGUUUAUGCACUUCGACAAACACCUGCUAUGUGUGUCCGCGAGAUGGUGACCACAUCGGAAACGAUAGCAGAUCAGCAGCAGCGGCAGCGGGGUAGCAUCAGCGUAGCGGCAUCGGUGUAGCAUCAGCGUAGCGGCAGUGAAGAACGACAACAGUGGAGCAGCAGCGGCGACAUGCAGGGGAACGGUAACGACGACGGAGUGCGGGGGAACGGGGCCGACGGUGGCGGUGAGUGGCAGGGGAGCGGCGGCGGGUGCCAGCAACAUGCAGGAGCAGCAGGGAAAGGCGAGAGAGAGAGAGAGAGAGCAGAAAUUUUACUCCGGUCCAUUUUAAUAAAGUAUAUUUAGGAAGAAGUUUGAUGCGGGAGUAUAACUUUUACUCCCUUACGACGUAUUGGGAACCGACUAUGUGCGCCUACGGGAGUAAAACCGCAUUUCACUGCCUUUAUGGCCUUUUAGGGAUGGUUACAAAUGGCUUUAGCUCUCAAAUAUCGCAACACCAUAUUCUUUUGUUAUGAAUCUAAGCAGCACUACCUUUGGUUUGUUGAGCCUUUUUUAACACAUUAUAUAUGCAAGCGUUCAUAUAUAUGCGCAUACACUCACCCCUAUGAACACACACAUACACAUCUUACCUGUAUGAAUACCUUAAAAGACUGAACCAACAUAUUAUUUUGAGCUUUACGAAUUCAUCGUAGGCGUCUCACCAUCGACAGAAACAUCUCCUUUCACUGAAUGCGCAUCGUCGAAAAUCCUAAAAAAAUCCAAAAAUAGUGCAAGCAUCAAAAAUUUAACCCCGAUGGUAUGGGAAUGGUCUCUCUAACCAUCCAACCACAGAUUGGUUUGUCCGUCUAUUGAGCCUUGAGUAAAGGCCAAUAAACCUACAUAGUUUUUUAGGGGACUCGGCCUACCUAGGUAGUACUCCCUUUGUCUCGGUUUAGAGGACAUGCGCGUAAUUUUAAGUUAAUGAUUGAACUAGUUAAAUAUGCAUCAUAUGUAAUGAAAAAUAUAUGUUUAAAAACCUCGUCCAUUUAAUAUAUUAAUGAUAUAUUUUUUAUGACAUGUAAUACAUAUGUAAUUAGUCAAAUCAAUGAGCCACGUGCAUGUCUUAUAAAUCGAAACAUCGAAACAGAGGAAGUAGCUAGUUAUCACACGACAAAUAAGCAUCACACGUCGCGCUGAACAGCCUUGACGACCCAAAAAUAGCAACGAAGGACAGAAUUACUGCAACAACAUCUCACCUAUCAGCUGUUUUACUACCUACCACAUGCAUUGGUCGCAUAAUAAACAACGACGAGCGCGUGCCGCGUCAUGCACACCUUCUUUUUUGUAUACAAUGUUUUUAUAUGACGUGUGCAAUGAGACUUUCAUUCAUUUCUUUGUAGUGAGAGUACUCCUCCAUAUUAAAAUAACUGUCUUAACUUCAUAUUAAUUUUAAUAUGAAAUGUUAUUAAGUUUGAUACAUUUAUUUUUGGACGGAAGGAGUAUGAAUCAAAUCAAGAGAGCCGAAAAGCCGGGAUAAUUAUAGAUAGGCUGGGAGAUUAGCAGGGUGUGUAGGUUUAAGAGGACCGGGGCCCCUGGUGGCCUUGCAUAAUUUUUAUUGUAAGGGGCGCGGGGAGCAUGAUCCCUGUUGGUCCCACCUCCAAUACUAUGCGCUCCUGCAACCCAACAAACCUGUGAAACCUAUGACAUCUGGCCCUAUAAAUAGAUCUGGGUUGGCCAAAACCCUAUUAUCCCGCCUUUCUCUCUCGAUAAUUUAACUACCAGUAAUCCUCGGUCACGGAGAUUUCUUUGCCAUUUCCUUUUUUCUUUGCUGGAUUUCAUCAGGGUUUUUCUUUUCUUUCUCCAAUUUUCUUUGUUUUUUUUAUUGAUUGCAAGUUUUUUUAUUAACAUUUAUUAAAUGCUUUAUCUAUAUUUUUGUUUACAUUUAUAAAUAUAAAAUAUUUGCAAGUAUAAAAAAGUAAAAAAAAAUGAAAAAAAAAUGAAUAAAAAACAAAAACAUAGUGCUAUGGCCAGCCUAGUACAUCGCUCGCUUAAGUCAAAGCCGCCCCACGUCUGGCUAUAAGCGAGGGGAGUUCCUAGUCAGCGCCUUCCGGGCUAAUUAGGAGAAGCGGCGCUCGCUACAGCUCCAAAUGGGCCGGACCACGACAGGGCACCGCAGAAAAUGCCUGACAAGAAUUAAAAUAUUACGAUCCGGCAGAAAAUGAGCCGGCCCACAUCAUGCACUACGUUUCAUGUUUUCAGUAACCACUAGAGCAUGCCGCCACAAGUGACAUAAUGAAGCGUUAAAGCUUUAAAAUCUCUUAGCUGGUCAUACAUGAUUUUUCAUUAAAAAAAGAAACUUCGCAGAUUUCCUAAAAAUGUGCAUAAACAUGCAAAAAAAAACUUACCCCUAUUCAGGAAAAUUUCAAUGAAUUUGAAAAAAAAUCAAUUUAGAAAAAUGUUCACAAAAUAUUCAAAAAAAAUCGUCAUCUUUGAACAUGAUAUGCUUCUUUACGUGCAUGAAAUGACAUCAAUUUUUUCCAGCAUGUGGGCAUGCUCAUGGCAGACCUCCAUGCAAAAUUUGAAAAAAUUCGGACACCAAACGUACAUUGCGCCAGGUUCGGCUAGUGUUGUAGGAUUUGUUUUACCAGAAAAAACCCUAGAAAAUGCAUAAACUGACAUAAAUCAAGGCAAUUUAACAUGGAUGCUUGCAUGGUGAUGCUAGGGUGUGGAAAGAAAUUCACACGCUCGCAUCAUCAUCACAAGAAAAGAAUGAUUACAAAAAAAAAAAAUAAGUGAUAAAAGGACCAGUUCGAUAAUGGGCCGGCCAAGCCGCGAACUGAGGUACCAUCAAAUAAGAAAAAGAAGUAAGUUGACAAAACAAUUAGUAUGUCCUAGUUGGUUAGUGUGGUUCUUGUUAGAUUAAGAGGUCUUGAUUUCAAAUCAUGGCACUUGCAUUAUUUUUGGACUUUCACAUAUGCAAAAGUCUAUACGGUUUGAUGAAAUGAUCAUACUACCUUUAUACGGUUUGAAAAUGAUCAUACCCUAAACCCUUUAUACGGUUUGUAAACAAUUCUAAUUUUUCAGCGCUCUCCCUCCCACCAUGUAAUCUUCUGUGUGUAAGGUGAACUUUUUACUUGGCUAAGUUUCUAAUAUAAAGUCAGCGGGUGCCUUCCCACUCUCGACAGGUUUUAAAAAAAGUUUGUGAAUUCAAAAAUAUACACAGAUUUUAAAAAAGUUCACAAACUUUAAAAUGUGCAUCAGUUUUGCAAAAUGCACAGUGAUAGGCGCUUAAGGUGCCAAAGAGGAAAUGCCGGCGGUUAAUGCUAGACCAAUAAAAAAAUGAAGACAACUAAUAGCCCCCAACCAGUAGUGUAAUUUUGUCAUUGGCUGUCAGCUCUUUUGAGUUGAGAGGACAAUGAAUUAGCUGCAGUGAGACGGAGAGACUAUUGGUGAAUUCCAUUUUUCAGUUUCUGCAACCUGAAGAAUCUGCAAACAUACAUAUCGAUGGCUGUGAGAGGCUUGUAUUUGGGUUGGGCAUCAUUCACCGUAGCAGCUGUUGUAUUUUCUGUCAGCAUUUAGAGAGGGGGAAAAACAGAGAGACGAUAGUAUCUGCCUAGAGUGUUUGUGAUAGCUGAACUGACUGCAUAGUUUUGUGGCUUGCCAAGUCUGCCACCUGGUUGCAGAGGAGGGGAGAACAGAGAUUUUUUGUAAAUCGAGUAGGGGAAGAACAGAGAUGAGCACAGAAUUAUUAUUUCCAGAGUUGUCUAGCUUGCCAAAAGGUAAACUGGCUACAUCAAUAGCUCAUAUAGUAACUGGGCAUCAAUCAACAUAAGUAAACUGAUGAACAUAUCUCCCUGGACCUGGAGAUUAAUUAUACCGCUGCAUCAUUGUUGGGCCGAGAUAUAUAUCCAUGGUCGCUUUCCAUCUCGCCUACCGCGGUUGCUUCAGUUGAGCGUCGAGCUACCAACCAGGCCAGCCGACGUGACGCAGCACCACCGGGAAAGUAAUUAAUUCUGAUCUCACAGCACGCUAGCACAGGCCGGCCUGCACAAGUAUGAUGUAUACAUCCAUCGAUCGAUCGAUCGUUAGCAGAGAGAUGGGGCUGAGCCAUCACCCGCGGAUUAAUUCAAUGGAGUUUUUGUUAAGUUACCCAAGCCACCGACGACAUGCCAUCUCGCUCCUGCUCGUUGAUAAAUUGCCUCACUUCUUCUUCCAGCUGGUAUUCUAAUUUUCGCCCUUUAAUCAGCUCCAUCGAUGGAGCUCCCCAACUCUAUGCUCCUGGCUCUGUUCCUCGCGAUCACCUGCUCCGUCGCAGGUAGGUUAAUUAUAUUCCUCCGAUGCUUGUUUAAUCGAUCAACUUAGUGAUCAUGCAUGCUUGUUGCUCAUCAUCCGGUCGUUGUUUCUUGGCAUGCGCAGCUGCGUAUGAUCCGCUGGACCCGACGGGCAACAUUACGAUCAAGUGGGACAUCCAGUCAUGGACGCCGGACGGGUACGUGGCGAUGGUGGCGAUGAACAACUACCAGCAGUACCGUCAGAUCAUGGCGCCGGGGUGGACGCUGGGGUGGUCGUGGGCCAAGAAGGAGGUGAUCUGGUCCAUCGUGGGCGCGCAGGCCACGGAGCAGGGCGACUGCUCCAAGUUCAAGGGCGGCAUCCCGCACUGCUGCAAGCACACGCCCUCCGUCGUCGACCUCCUCCCCGGCGUGCCCUACAACCAGCAGAUCGCCAANCUGAUGACCUGGACGGUGACCUGCACCUACUCGCAGCAGCUGGCGUCGAGGUACCCGACGUGCUGCGUCUCCUUCUCCUCCUUCUACAACAGCACGAUCGUGCCGUGCGCCCGGUGCGCGUGCGGCUGCGGCGCGCACAAGAGCACGGGCGGGCGCGGCGGCAAGAGCCACAGCGACGGGUGCAUCGCCGGCGACUCCAAGCGCGCGCUGACCCCCGGGGUGAACACGCCCAAGAAGGACGGGGCGCAGCUGCUGCAGUGCACCAACCACAUGUGCCCCAUCCGCGUGCACUGGCACGUCAAGCUCAACUACAAGGACUACUGGCGCGCCAAGAUCGCCGUCACCAACUUCAACUACCGCAUGAACUACACGCAGUGGACGCUCGUCGCUCAGCACCCGAACCUCAACAACGUCACGGAGGUCUUCAGCUUCCAGUACAAGCCGCUCCUGCCAUACGGCAACAUCAACGACACCGGCAUGUUCUACGGCCUCAAGCUCUACAACGACCUGCUCAUGGAGGCCGGCCCGUUCGGCAACGUGCAGUCGGAGGUGCUCAUGCGCAAGGACGACGCCACCUUCACCUUCGGUCAGGGAUGGGCUUUCCCGCGCAAGAUCUACUUCAACGGCGAUGAGUGCAAGAUGCCGCCGCCGGACUCGUACCCGUACCUGCCCAACUCCGCGCCGCCGCGUUCUUCCAUCAUCACCGCUGCUGCCUCAACGUGCCUGGUGUUGCUGCUCCUGCUCCUGGCGGCGUGAUCUAUAUAUCCUGGUGCCACAAUUUUCCCAUUUUGUAAAAGACAACGCACUGUUGUAGGUAGGGGCAUUUUGGUCUUGCGAGUAUUUUACCUUGUACACCAAGAUGGUAUGUUCAAGUGAUUUCAUGGUAAUCCUUAAGGGAAACGUUACCUUCCAGCCGGCUGCUCCUGCUCUCGCAUCCACCACCUCCUUUGUUUGCCACGUGGGCGCGUCUAACGGCUGAAAAUGGUUCCCGUGGCCGACGGAUCACAAGCCGUUUUCCUGAAACAAUUCCAUUGUUUCAGGACGUUGUUCCUGCAGCGCGCUGCUGGCAAGCAGGAGGGGCUCUCCCUCGAUCCCGAUGGAUCGGGAGCCAGGGCGGCGGCGUGCUCCAGGCAGCAGGGUGCCGCCGCCAAAGAGGCGGCGGGGCAGCCGAUGAGCAUGGGGGCGGCGGAUCCGGCCGGACCUCGCCGGAUCCAGGCCGGACGGCGGCGGCGCGACGAAGGGGCAGGCGGUGCGGCGGUUCCCUGCAGGCUGGGGCUGCAGCUGGCGCCGGAGUGCGCCCUGCCGGCGACACGCGCGGGGCGACGGCCGGAGGGAACCAGCGACGAGCCGGAGCUCCUGCGGCUGCGGAUGCAGCUCAGGGCGUGGCUCGCGCGAGGCUCGCUCCGAGGAGGAGGCAGGGAGGCUUGUUGCAAAAAUUCCUGAAACUCAACCGUUGUUGCAAAAAAUUCUUCCGUAAAAAUACCUAUGUUACAGGAAGACGAAGAAAAAAAAAUCUACAACAAGCAAAUUGUUUCUGAAACUCGACCGUUGUUUCAGGAAUUAACAGAUCCAAAGUUUAUUUCUUGCAACAAAGCGAAAGUUUCCGCAACUCGAGCGUCGUUUUAGAAAAUAACUACUGACCAUGCGGCGGGGAUGCAGGGCGUUAGAUCGGCAUCCGACGGCUAGCUAGGUGACGGAUAAUUUUUAGAAAUCAUCCGACGGACGCGUAGCGUUCCCCAAUCCUUAAUUAGAUGUAAGUUUCUCUGUACUUUUUUCAUAUCUUAGAGCAACUCCAACGGGUGAUCCAUUUCGUCAGUCACCGUUCGUUUGGAUCUGUGCUGACAAAAGUGAUAGCCCAAUGCCCCGACCCAUUGCCAAAACGCGUCUGCUUCGCGCCAGCGUCGAUCCAUUUCUGACCCAAAUUUAGGACUGAAAUGCGUCGGCGCGGAUGCGCGCGCCCUCUUGGUAUUCGCUCCAACCACCACCAGUCAACUUAAUUUAUGACGACCAUCCUCCACGGGCAAACGCGACAGCGACACUUGUCACCUUUUUUUAUCCGAGCGUCCGCUGGGGUUCGGCCCCGCUUCCAGAACCCCAUCCCCAUCUCGCCACCUCGUCGGCGACCAAACCCUAGACAACAGCCAUGGUCGUCUCCUUCCAAAACUAGGGCAAGGCCCUCGUCUACCCUCACGCGAUCUCCCCGCCGGUGUCUUCCCACCGGCAAGCGAGCGUGUCAGCGUCCCGGGGCACCAAGCACACGGUGGCACUGGGAGCACCGCGUCCCGCUUUUGUACUCCGAUGUCACCCUCCCGCACCACUGGCAUCUUCAUCCGGAGAGGAUCCCGGUGCCGGCCGUGCCGCGGUCAGCGCGGAUGCAUGCGGAGGAGGUGAGUCGCCGCCGGCAUGAGAUGACGCCGAGCAGCGGCUCAACCCUGUGUACGCGGCCGACUCUCCCAACUAGAAGGUCUGGUUCGCGGACGAGCACGAGGAGUAGCGUCGGAGCGGCGUGCGCGACAUGCAGCCAGGAGGGCCUCUGCCGCCCCCGCCCAUCGUUAGCGACGAGGACCAGGAAGCGGAGGCCGCCUACCAGGCGGCGCUGACAGCUGCACUCCGCGAGAGCGAGGAGGAAGAGUGGCGCAAGGUCGAGGAGGAGGACGCGGCAUACGAGGCGCAACUCGCGGAGGCCAUCGCGCUGUCCUCCGCCGGCGAUUGCGUCGUGCCACCUCCGCCGAAGACCGAGUCCACGGAGCCGCAGCGGGAGGUCUGCCAGUGGACCGGCUGCCUCCGCGAGUGGGUCUGCGCGCCGUCCAUCUGGUUGGACGCGACACUGCAGCAGGAGGAAGCCUACCUCCAGCACUGGAGGUCGCGGAACGUGGCGGAGGAGCGCGCCGACGACUGUCGACAGAUGGCGCUGCGGAAGGAGGUGGAGGAGGAAUGACGGAAGAUAGAGGAGGAGGAGCGCGCCCAUGGUGUGCUGCCACCCUCACCAGCACAACCCACGCCGGAUGGACUGACGACGGAGGCGCAGACAUUUGUGUUCAUCGGACCGAUGCUGGUUGACCUCACCGACACCUGGGCGGGCCCUGCCCAAAUGCUGGUUGACCUCACCGGCACCAACGUCGACAAUGACGACGCCUAGGGCUGCCUCCUAGUUUAGGUUUUUUAUGUUUAAUGAUUGUAAUGGGAACACAUGGACUCUCGCCAAGGCCGACUUUUAAUGUUUGUUUAUUAUUUUUAAAAAUGUUUUAAAAAAUCACGCAUCGAUAAAAAUGGAUCAGACCAGCGUUGAGCGCAUCCGUCGAUCCAAACACCGAAAUGGACAUUGGUGUUCAUCGGACCGAUCCAAACAGACAAAAAACGGACUUUAGGUCGGCCGGCUGGAGUUUCUCUUAGAUCGAAACUAAAGCAGUGUACAUUGGGUGUAUCCACCCAUAGCAGGUGCGACGAUCGACGGUGACAAUAUCAUUGUGCUUUCAGAUGUGAUCAGUACAACACUACAUCAGUCGUACAUCUCCCAUGCAUUUGCACAAUGACCCAUGUCGGCAGGCCGAAGAUCCCACCUCAAGUUCGCUCUCGAUGUUUAUUGUACAUCCAAAUUGUUCGGAUCAGUUUGCCCAGGCUUUCCAGGUGUGCAAAUGUUUGGAAAAAAAUGGCUUAUCUAUGUUUUUACUGUUUGAACAUAUUCUUAAAUGUCAGAUAUAUUUUUUUGAAUCGUACGAACCAAAUGUUUCAAUGAUGUGAACAUUUUUGUACAUUUUCUAUACAUAUAAAAAAUUAAAAAUAUAUUUUCGACAUUUUGUGAACAUAGUUUAUAAAUGUCACGUAUAUUUUGGUGAGUGGUAAGAAGAAUUUCUUUUAAAUUACGUGAACAGGUUUUUAUAUCUUAUAAUCUUUUGAAAAUGUGACGACCAUUUUCUUUGGACCUUCCAAACAGUUUUUAGAUGUCAUGAAUAAUAUGUUUAAAUGGUAUGGAAUUUUUAACAAAUGUAAAUAUAAUAGUUCUGAAGUGUUUAUAUUUUUUCUAUUUUGGAAUAGAAAUUCAUAAAAGAAAACUAGUGUUAUAGCAACUAAAUGGCCAGGCCACUACUGUGCAACUUGGGGCGAGCUAGUUCUCACUGCGUCUCGUAGUGGGCAAGACACGUUCUCUCCCCUCCUUGCUAGCCAGCAGUGCAAAAAAUUCCUAAAUUCUACUCCAUCCGUUUUGAAAUGUAAGUCUUUUUAAAAAUAUUAAUACGGACAAUAUAUGGAUGUAUAUGAUGUAUUUUAGUAUAUAAAUUGAUUCAUUUUGCUUCAUAUCUAAUUCAAAUUUUAAUCAUUACAACGCUUUUAUAUUUCAAAACGGAGAGGGUAGUUCACUAUCCAUAUGCCGCGGCCACAAAGUUUUUAUAUGGCCAAUGUAAUCAUUCCACACCGUUCUGGUUUUCGGAACAUUUCGAAAGAUUCUAGCAUGGUUUCCCCAGUUUUUUCUUCUUUGCGUUUUAAUCCUGAAUUUUCUUAGUUUUGAUGAAAAAAAAAGUUCUCCAUCAUUUUCAAGUUUGUUUUCCAUUUUUUGAAUUCAUCAUAUUUUUCCAAUUGAUGAGCAAUUUUAAAGUAAAGUAUUUUAAGUUUUAUGAAGAUUUUUAAAGUUUAUGAAUAUAUAUUGUCAACUUUGUAGCCUUUUAGAAUUCAUGAACGCUGUUUUCAUGAAAUUGCUUAAAUCUACGAGAAAACAUAUGGUCAUUUUUUAAGUUGGUGUUUUUUUCAAAAGGAAACACAUAAAAACAGAAAUGAUACUUGGGGAACGUCCUCUCGGUGGGAGGGGGUCCCAUCGAAUGUUACGGUACCGUCCGAUCAAAUGGCAUGAAUCUUGACACGCAUGGAGAGUCACAUCAUGAGUUUGGGAUCGUUCGGAAAAACCAUCCUGCGUGCGAACGUCUCCAUCACUCGUUCCCUUAUCUCCUCACCCACUGCCCUCCCCCCUCUCAUGUUUGUGGUUGCUCCAUCGAUGAAGGAUAAGAGGAGGCAGAAAGGAGUAGAAGCUCCAGCAAAGAGGCUCGAAGAUGGGGGAGCGUCGUCUGUCGUUGAGGAGGUUGCCGGCGGGUAGUAGGCGCAUAGGAGUGAAGGUGGUGGAGGACGUUGCAAGUGAUGAAGGCAUCUCUACUCCCGCCACCAAUCUGUGAUGAGAUGGGCACUAGGAGGAGCAGGUGCCCCUGCGGCCCAGUUAUUUUCGCGACGUCGACUAUGUUUCAGUUCAGCCUGUGUCUGAUGCUUAAGGGGCGGAUGGGUAGCGGCGCGGUGCUCGCCACGACCGUCCAUGGUAGGGGUGGUAGCGUUCAACACCGACACACACACGGCCCAUCUCCAGCUUAUCGUGGGUGUUGCCCUCCUCUUUUGCUGGUUGCAGUGCAAUAAUGACAGAGGGGCAAUGGUGAUGAUGCGGAUCCUGCUCCGUUCCUCACAUGGUUCGAUGCCUUCCUCUCCAAUGGUCUAAGUCCAAUGACAUAGAGUUCUUUUUCUUGGAGGGUCUCGGACGAUUGCGCACCUCUGGUUGGAACCAUGUGCAGUUUUAUGCAUCCCUCUCCUAUAAGUGCAAAUCUCACUUGUGUCCAUGUUUUUUUCACUCAUACUCCCUCCGUCCCGAAAUAUAUGACGCUGGGGAGUUUUAAGACAUCCCCUCAAAAUCGCCCAAAAGACAUGUCUACCCCUCAGAUUCAUUACAGGGGGAAUCGUUACACUAAAAAAACCCGUACUGUACAACAAUUUUGAAUCGCCCCCACCUCCAUCGCCCCCCACCUCCAGCGCACACCUCCAGCGCCGCCCACCUCCGCCCAACAGAUCCCCUCCCAUCUCGCCGCCCAGUAUAUCCCCCUCCCAUCUCGCGAGCGCCGUGCUGCAGAUCGCCUCUCCCUGUGCCGGAGAGGACCUGGCCAGCACCAAGCCACCUCCUGUCCUCGAGGUUUCCUGGCCAACGCCCUGCUGCAGAUCGCCUCCACCUUCCUAGGGCCUCGCCAGCUCCAACUCCAGGUACCGCAGAUCACCGCCGGCUCCACGUCCUGCUCACGAGGCUGUAUCAACAAAUCUUAGCAUCACAAAAAUUAGUACUGGAGCAUGAUGUUGGAGUAGUUGCAUGAUGUUGGAGCAUGACAAAAAUCAGUGCAUUACUGCUCCAUCAACAGAAUCACUUUUACUCAGUGGAGUAUAACAUCAUGCAACAUCAUUUUCAUGACAGGAGUACAGUUACAUGAUGUUGGAGUACUACAGUUCUUGAUGUUGCAUGAACUUACAUUGUGGCAGUAUAUGAACAGGCUCCAGGUCCAGCAGGUCCAACUCCAUGGUCCAGAAGAGGUAGCAGCUGAAAAAGCAGAGACAUAAUCAGGGCAAAGGCAUGGAGUUUGAUCUCAAUUAUACUCCAGCCCAAGAAGAAGACAUACUCCAAGAUGAUAUCAACAUGGAAGAAGAAGAAGAGGGCAUUGAUCCCGGUCAUGAUGCAGUCAGUGUCGAGCAAGGUACAAAUCCAAUGAUGGUCUGUGGCGUAUUAACAUGAACUGGAUUAGUUUGAAGCCUGAACUCAUUUACACUUGACUAUGCAAAUCCAAUGCUGGUAUGUGGCGUUAGUCAAUGAACGACAUAGUGUCAAUGCUGGUCUGUUUUGUUUCUAUUCAUCCCGUUGGCUAUGUAGCAUGAUUCUGGUACCAUUUGGAGAGUAGAAUUUCAGUGGGACUAAUAUUUUUCUUGGUUGUUACAGUUGUUGAGCAAGGAGUUACAAAAAGGAAAACCCUCAGCGACCAGGAAAAAUAUGCUGCUUAUGUAGCACUGCAUACAUUGUGUAUGAGUAGAGGCGGAAAGUUCAAGAGAAAUGACAAGAAAGACGUUGCACAAUUUUUUAAGGUAGAUGUGAGGAGUAUACAAAGAGUUUGGCAGAAGGCCAUGAAGCAAAUUGCAGAUGGUUUGGAGGUAGAUGUUUCCAACAAAAAAAAGGGAAGAUGUGGAAGAAAGCCAAAGAACAUCAACCUAGAGCAGAUCCCAACAAUACCACUGAACAAGAGGUCGACUAUAAGAUCACUAGCUUGUCAACUCGGUUGCAGCCCUAGCACACUUCAUAGGAAGUUCAAGCUGAAGCUCAUAAAGAGACAUACAAAUACCGUGAAGCCUGUUCUGAAGGACAAGAAUAAGAUUAGUAGGAUGAAAUUCUGUUUGUCAAUGCUUGAUGAGACAACGAUAGAAACACCAAGGCUUAAAUUCAAAUCUAUGCACAACAUUGUCCAUAUUGACGAGAAAUGGUUUUAUAUGACAAAGAGAAACAGGAACUAUUAUCUCUUGGAUGGGGAGGAAGAGCCUACAAGAACUAUACAAAACAGCAACUGUAUUGGAAAAAUCAUGUUCUUGACGGCAGUUGCUAGGCCAAGAUGGGAUAGUGAAGGAAAUGUGAUGUUCUCUGGGAAAAUUGGUAUUUGGCCAUUCGUGAAAGAAGUUCCAGCUCAGAGGAAAAGUGAUAAUAGACCUAGAGGCACAAUAGAGACAAAAUCAAUAAAAGUCGACAGAAAGGUGAUGCGGGAAUUCUUGAUAGAGAACGUCUUGGCAGCAAUACAAGUUGUUUGGCCUGAAAGUGAUGUUGGGCAGACAAUCUAUACACAACAGGACAAUGCUAAGCCCCACAUACUGCCUACUGACCCAGAGUUUUUAGAAGCCGUUUCAAGAACUGGAAUGGACGUCAGAAUAAGACAACAACCCUCCAACAGUCCUGACUUGAAUGCGCUUGACCUUGGGUUUUUCAACUCAUUGCAAUCUAUGACAGAUUGUAGCCCUAAAACACUUCAAGAUCUAAUUAAUGGAGUGUUGGAGGAAUUUGAAGACUACGAGGUUUACAAACUGAACAGAGUUUUCCUAUCUCUACAGGCUUGCAUGAUAGAGAUCUUGAACAAUGCUAGUGGCAAUGAGUAUAAAAUACCCCAUGUGAACAAAGAAAGGCUGGAGAAUCUUGGAAUUCUACCUCUACGGCUUUCAUGCCCUCGAGAGGUGUAUGCAAAUGCCCUACACAAUUUAGGGCUAAUGGAGAGAGUUCACUAGUGCUUAACAUGACGCUUGUUGAGAUGCUUGAGGAGUGAGAUGAGGCUUGUUGAGAUGCUUGAGAUGAGGCUUGUUGAGAUGCUUUGGGAGUGAGAUGACGCUUGUUCAGAUGCUUGAGGAGUGAGAUGACGCUUGUUCAGAUGCUUGAGGAGUGAGAUGAGGCUUGUUGAGAUGCUUGAGGAGUGAGACGAGGCUUGUUGAGAUGCUUGAGAUGAGGCUUGUUGAGAUGCUUUGGGAGUGAGAUGACGCUUGUUCAGAUGCUUGAGAUGAGGCUUCUUGAGAUGCUUGAGGAGUGAGAUGAGGCUUGUUGAGAUGCUUGAGGAGUGAGAUGAGGCUUGUUGUGAUCAUUUAUAUUCCUUGUUGUAUUUUGUGAUGAGACAUUCUCUUGUUGUGUUGCAUCCUUGUGAUUAUGAGCUCAUGUGGAGUAUGAUCAUUUGAACUCCUCGUGUGUAUAACUCCUUGUUUGUAUGAUAAGUUUUUGAAUUUCCUCAUUUUUAUGAUCAUUUGGACUCUUCAAGUUUAACUUUAAUUUUAAUUAAAGAAAAUCUUCUAGUUUAAUUUUAAUUAAAGAAAGUUAAAAUAAUGGAGGGCACAAGAGGGGUACUUGGAAAUAAGAGAAGAGAAAAUAAGGAACUAAGCUACUCUUACACUACUCCUACACUACUCCAAAACAGGUCUACAACUACUGUUGUAUGGAGAGAAGAGAGGAGUACUGCUGCAGCAAAAUGGUUGGUUUCUUUACCAAAUUCAGACAUGCAGCAAAGAGAGGAGCCCUCCAACAAUUUUCCUGGGCAUGCAGCAAAUUGGGAGCGAAGAGCAUUCAUAUCAAUCCUUACCAAAUCUUCUUGGGCUAGACAUUCAAAUUGUAAGCUUACCAAAUCAAUCAAGGUACAGUGUGCUGUCGAGCUGUCGAGCAAGGUAGACUGUACUAUAUGAUGUGCUAAGCUGGACAUUCAUAUCAGCAAUUGGCAGUGUGCUGUCGAGCAAGGUACAGUGUGCAGUGUGCUGAUGUGCUAAGCUCAAAAAUUAACAUGCACCAUUCAUAUCAAUCCUUGUUGCAACGACGAUGAAAUCACAAGGACAAGAGAGGGGUGCAAGCGUACCCGGUAGCCGACGAUGCCGCGGAGGCUGCUGGGAAGAAAUCACAACGACGAUGCCGCGGAGGCUGUUGACAAGAGAGGGGUGCAAGCAUGCAAAUUCAGACGCGGAAUUCAGUUACGGGCAAGCAUGCAAAUUCAGUUACGGGCAAGCAUGAAAAUUCAGUUACGAGCGAGCUUUGCACCUGCGGUGUGGGGAAGCUCUUGAUGGGGUGGCAACCAGCCGCGGCAGGCGCCACCACCCCUGGUGCCUCGCCCACCAGCUGUUGAUGGGGUGCCUCGCCCGCCGUGCAGCGCGAAGAAGGCCGUCGCCUCCCCUGUGGGCGGCCGUGCAGCGCGAAGAAGCCCGGACACCACGAACGCCGCGAGCACCCCGGCGGCCGGGACCAGGCGCGCGUGGGGGGCGGUACACGCACGGCCGGAGCACGGCGGGCAUCAACAGGUUCCAGCGCCGGCCCCAGAAAUCCCGCAGCGACGCCGACAGGUACGGCCGGUCAAACUGCGGCUCCAGACCCAGCAGCGCGCGCUGGACCCUCACCAGACCCAGCACCAGCAGCGCGCGCUGGACCCUCCUGCUAGCAGCCUCUCCAUCAACCUCCCACCAACCUUCUUGCAAGUCACGCCGCCCGCCGGAUCUGCAAACAGUCUUGCUCCACCAGCAGUCUUGCUCCUGCUGCUAGAUUCAAGAUGAGGAAGAAACGAGGUGCCCCUCCUGCUAGCAGUCUUUCUCCACCAGCACCUUCCGCCAUCUACUCCGUCGAGGAAGAAGCUCGUCGUCGGCGCCUAAAAAAUCAAACUUUUGACCAGGGUGAGCAGUGGGAGGAAACGGGGUGCACGGUGGGAGGAAACAGGGUGCGCGGUGGUUGGGGGAAAGGAAGGUGACGAGAGGCCGGUGACGACUGAGAGGAGAGGACAGCGACGACGGCGAGGGAAGGCCGGCGACGGCGUGGAUCUGGAAGGAGCGACAGGGGGUGGGUGAGAGGGGAACGAGAGUGAACGAGGGGAACGAGAAAGCGAGCGGUGGUGGGAGGGCUUUUCUGGAAAGUGGAAAAUGUUGGUAGUGUUAAAAAAUUUACACAGCAAACCCUCUAACGUCAUAUAUUUCAGGACGGAGGGAGUAGUAAAUUGCAUAGUUCAUCUAAGCUGAGAACCUGCAAUCUACCAUGGCAAUAGGUUUACAUUUUUGCCAUGGCAUUUUUAUCCCAAUGGCAAUUUGCAGAUUUUUUUUUAUUGAUAUAAGUGAUAAGUGAUAUGUUUGUUAAUUGUUAUGGUAUGAUGGCAUUUUUACAGAAGUUUAGUUGUGGCGAUAUGUCAUUUUUUUUGUAAGUGAUAUGUUGUGAUGGAAGAGAACCUUUAGUUUGCCAUGGCAAUAAGUUUUCUUAUUUUUGCCAUUGCAUUUUUUAUGCCCAUGACGUAGGAUUGUUUUUUUUAUAGUAUAAGUAGUAUUUUUCUUAUUUUUUACAUAUAAUCUGGUUGUGGUCACAUGGCAUUUUUGUAAGUGAUAUGUUGCGAUGAAAACUCAAAAUUUGGGGCCAUGUCUCUCAAUCUUGUUAUUUUUCGUUGACAUGCCAGAAAUAAUAAUUCAUUGCCAUGGGCAGCUCCAUAAAUAUUGUGACGAUAACUUUUUGUAAGGUAAAGUGUGUGCAUCUCUUUUUCCUAUGGAACAAAGUAUGAAUGUUUUUGUAAGCGACCACAUGGCCUUUUUUUGUAUGAUUGUUUUGAAUUGUUCACAUGGCAACGUGUUUUCUCAUGGCAAUGAUGUAGAUAAUUACCACAACACUAUAUAAGUGUCUGAAUCAGGGUUUUUUGUAUGUGCAAACUUACUAUAGGCACCAUGGAUUUUUUAGUAAUCAGACCAUGGCAUUUUUACUAUUGAGAACAUGGUAGUUUUAUUUUUAGGCACCAUGAUAUUUUUAUUAUUAGUUAGAGUAUGUCAAAAUUUAAAAUUAGACCAUGGCAAUUGAAAGUAAUGUAACCAUGGCAAAAUUAUUGUUCACAUCAUCUGCCUCUGCCUCUGCCUCCAUUGUCUCGUCCCGCAUCUGGCCUCCGUCCCUCGCCGAGGCCCCUUCCUGGCCCUCUGUACCAGGUCGCACGCAGGUCCUUGAAAACCAAAGCUUUUGGAGGGUGAAAUCCAUCGCCACACUCUGUGAAAGUAUGACCGAGAUGGCCACGUACAUACAGUGCAUCAAUCAGGAAGUCUCUCGUAUUUAACCCUGAAGAUUUCCAUCUUCUUGUUCUUGACAAGUGAAACGACGUUCUUUAGAGGUUUAUCGUGACAUUGAUUUCCACCCGGACUCGUUAGAAAUUGCCCUCGAGAUCCUGCGACUUCGGUUCAGCAAAGACAAACUUGCCAAUGGUGUCCGUCAGGGAUUUGAACCCUAGAGAUCGUCAUCCAUCUGGUAUUCUGGUUGCUUUCGAUGGGAGAUACCCGUCGUUCACCACCACGUCUUGCAGAUUAUCCUUCCUCGGACCCAGCUCUUCCAUCAUGGCCUCCAGAUCGGUAGUCGCCGCGCCCGAACCAGAAGCUGAUGAAUCCAUGAGACCUCUUGCCCGGAGAGAAGAUCCGCGGGUUGUGGUGUUCCCAAGCACGUCCCGCCCCGAUGGCCGAGAACCAGCCGAUGGGCGGGAAGCUGCUGGGAUGAAGUUCUCUAUGACAAAGGCGAUGGCCGCCGUCGACGAGAGGAGAGAAAAACCCGAACGAGAGGGGAUUUUAGACUAUUCCCAAUUAAUUAAUAUAGCUACAUCCUAGAAUAGGGUAUCUCAUUGUCUCGCCUGUUGGUUGCACUGGGCCCUCGAAUAUUUUCAUGGUCUCGCAUUAGUAGAUUGUAACCCAGAUUUAGCUUGGUAGCCAUAAUCAUAAUCCUCCAGAGGCGCUUAAUUUGGAUCCUGCCGCGGAGAAAACCGCGAUGCCGUUGCUGCCACGAAGACGCGAUGGAGACUUGCGUAACGAAAACCGGGAACAAUACCAGUCAAAGACCAUGUACCACCAGCGUACCGACAUCAUCCACUUCAUUUCAUCCCUCACAAAGUCACAACUCACAAGCAGUAGUACUCCUACAGUAUUUGACAAGUUCGACAGUCCAACUGUGCGCGUGCGUGCUCGAUCGUCGUCGCAAACCAUGUCCAUGCUGCCGCUGCAGCUGCUUCUUCUUCCGCUCGCCUCCUUCCUGCGCACGGCCGCAUCCACCACCGGCAGCAACGAGAGCUGCACGCCCAAGUCAUGCGGGGGCCUCACCAUCAGGUACCCCUUCUCCCUCUCCGGCGCGCAGCCGCUCUACUGCGGCUACCCGGCCUUCGACCUCACCUGCGAGGCCGGCACCAGCCGCGCCUACCUGAGCAACACGUUCAGGGAGCACCUGUUCCGCGUCGACAACAUCUCCUACCCAGACAACACCAUGAUGGCCGCCGUGCAGACCCCCUUCGCCGGCGACACCGGCUGCCCCGUCCCCGACUUCAACGUGUCGGCCAGCCUCGCCCUCUUCCCGUUCAACAUCAGCGCCACCAACAAGCGCCUCGUGUUCUUCUACAACUGCACCGUGCCCGCUGAGCUCCGGCUGCAGGGGCAGUGCGCCAACCACACCAUGGGAGCGUACAUCUCCGGUUCAUGGGACGACGGCGAAGGCGGCACACCGCCGCUGGGUGUUCCGACGAACUGUAGCUCGGUGAGCGUGCCGGUGCGCCGAGGAAUGGACCAACCUUAUCUGCUCCACCAGUACCACCGGCUGAUCAGCGAUGGGUUCUUGCUGGAGCUACCGGCGCCGUCGGAAGACUGCGAUGGAUGCACACGGAAGCGCGGGGAGUGCCGGUUCGAUCAGUUUGCGUUCCAGUGCGUCUGCCCUGAGGGGAAGCCCUGCCUCAAUUCCACCCAAACGAACUCAACAACUCCUCCAGGUAACUAAAGACCGUUUGCUUUCUUAAACUUGCACAGAUUAUUCUGAGAAUUAGUAAGAGUAAUGCCCCCUCUCUAAGGAAAUAUAAAAGCGUUUAGAUCAUUCAUUAAUCCGUAAGAAAAUAUAAAACCGUAUACUAGAUCAUUCAUUACUUUUACGAUUUGAACGCUAUUAUAUUUCUUUAGGAAGGGAGUACAUUACAGUAUAUAUUUUCUACGGAAGAAGUGCAUUACAAUACUGAGUUCAGAUGUUCGUAUGCACCAUAUAUGAUAUAUCACUUAAUUUAGUUAGAUACUGAAAUGGUCAAUUCGUGAACUUGGACUGCGUGCCUUUGAAUAAGUUCGGUCAUGGCAAAUUGGUUCAGAUACAGGAGUAUGCGUCAGUCACUCUCGUUCAUAUUGCUAACCUCAUUGUACAAUACAAAUCUAUGGUCUGAACGUCAAUUGGUAGCAGCCACUCGUGCUAUAUAUCAUUGUCAAAGUUGUGUAGUCGAUUGUGAAUUUGUGAUGCAAAUGUCGUUUUCUUAUAUGACCAUUCCACCUUCCAAUCUAGUCUAGAGUUGUGCUUUGAUGCUUUUCGAAAAUGAACAACAAAAUGUUAUCUAACUCCUACGCCAUGACUUUAGGUGAACAUUGGUGCAAAUCUUUUUAAAAUUUUGGUCGGUUUACUUAUUUUUGGUGCCAUUUUUGCCUUUUUGGAAGCCAUGUCUAACUUAUUUCCCCAAAAAAUAAAGUAACAAUCAAGAAAAAAACAUGAAAACAACCCCCCAAAAAGAGAGUCAAUGCUGACAGCUACAUGAAAUUAGGUUAAUUCUGGUCUAGAUGAGAGAGCUAGGCCACACCCUUUCCGAAAGCCAACAAGAAAUUUUGUGGACAGUUAAAAGAUGACAAUGGAUACUUAUCUUCAGAGUGGAAAUUCAGAAAGAAACUGUGGCUAAAUUCUUUGAAACCCAACUAAGAUACAGAAAGAAAAUGGAUUGUGGGGUCAGGUGACUCAGCUGGCCGGCCCCUAGUAUGAAGGGAACCUGAUCUGCAAGUCUUCUCCCCAAGUCUUCCAUGGAAAUCAACAUGACAGCUCAUUUUGUUUGAUAUUUCCUACCAAAACCUUCGACAUCAGGAGAACGGCAGGCAACCUAUCACGCAUGGCAGUUCAUUUUGUCGUCUCCCCUGUGCACAAGUGCAGCCUUGAUCUUUUGGUUUUUUGCUUUUUUUUCUUCUUCUUCUUCUUGCAUGUCACAUCAGUGAAUACAGUCAUUUCUUUUUUGAGGGUUCUCCACCUUAAUUUACUACUCAAAGCAUUAAGGAGAUUACACGACAUGACAUGACAGGGGUUAUCCAAAGAGUUUUGAAAAUGAUAUCCAAACUUCUGGUCAGCAGGUAAUAAUAUUUCACAGUUUGCUCUGACCGGUUAACUAUCUAUCACUGUCAUGACCUGUACGGCCAUAAUCAACGUGGUUAAUUAAAAAAAAUGUUUUUCAUGGUAAAGAAAUUAGGAGUCUAAUCUGCCGCCUUCCUUUUCAAAAUGAAGAACCUCACCAGUCUUGUGAAGUUAUGUACUCUCCCCGGUUCAUAACAUAGGCAGUUCCACAAAUCACCAUUAUAAAAAAGCAUCAUUAAUCCAAACAAGCUCCUAUUACUACAUUUUCAAAACAUAAAUAUUCACAAUCAAUUCUUGCUUGUAGACAACUCACUCCAUUGCAAAAAAAAAAAACUGAUUUUGCAUGGUCUCCAAUAUGCAACUUGGACUAAUAACUAUUGUAUAAAUGUAGGCAUACAAAUGAAUAACCUAUAUAAAGGGUACCCUCGGACCCUAACUAGUUCAAUCAAAUGAACUAAAGAUCUCCGAAGUGUCAGAGGGCACCCUAACAUCCAUCAAUUUGCAUCCCUAAAUAAAUGCAUGUUAACAAUUAUGAUAAGUAUGGUAAAAUACAUUGUGAACAAUUUGCCGAGAAUUUUUUGAAAACAUUUACUAUUAUUUUUCGUGGUAUUGUUCAUCCGGGUGCAUAUGCACCCCGGAGCCAAAACACCUCUCCCAUUAAUUACUUGCUACUGAAAUGUUCUGAUUCUUCUUCGUUAGACCUUCCGGCAUAUACAGAUACACAUACAGGUGCACAGGAUGCUGGAAUAAAGUACGUCACAGGUAAUGAUAACUUUAUAAACCCGCCACAAAGUUGAUAACUUCGAUCAUGCAGUAAUCCCCUGCUUGCUCACUCAUCAGCACAUAUAUAUGGCUUCAGGAAUCACAGUUUCUGUUCUGUUUGUGAUCAUACUGGGGCUCCUGUGCCAUCUCAUACAACUCAACCGAGCCAAGAACAAGAAGCGAUCUGAGUCGUUGGACGGCCUCAUCCGUGAAGGAUCGCCGCUGACAUCGCUGCGCAAGGAGUUCAACCUCGCCGGCUCGCCCUGCACCCACAUCUUCACCUACGAGGAGCUCGACGCGGCCACCGACGGCUUCGGCGCCGCCAACGAGCUCGGCGCCGGCGGCUUCGGGACAGUCUACAAGGGUACGUACAUCGAUCACAGCCACACACAUAGCCAUUGUUGGACUGUUCAGAGUUCAGACUACUUCAGAGUGGUAGAAUGAAUGGCGACGACGUGGGUUUGUGUUUGUGCAGGUGUUCUCCGGGACGGGAGCGUGGUGGCGGUGAAGCGGCUGUACAAGAACAGCUACAAGGGCGUGGAGCAGUUCGCCAACGAGGUGGACAUCCUCUCGCGGCUGCGCCACCCAAACCUCGUCGCGCUCUACGGCUGCACCUCCUCCUGCCGCGACCUCCUCCUCGUCUACGAGUUCGUCCCCAACGGCACGCUCGCCGACCACCUCCACCACGGCAAUGCCGGCGGCGGCGANNNNNNNNNNNNNNNNNNNNNNNNNNNNNNNNNNNNNNNNNNNNNNNNNNNNNNNNNNNNNNNNNNNNNNNNNNNNNNNNNNNNNNNNNNNNNNNNNNNNCCCCCUCAUGCUCUCGUGGCCGACCCGGCUCGGCAUCGCCGUCGAGACGGCCGCCGCGCUGGCAUACCUCCACGCGCACCAGGUCCUGCACCGCGACGUCAAGACCACCAACAUCCUCCUGGACGGCGGGCUCCACGUCAAGGUGGCCGACUUCGGGCUAUCCCGGCUGUUCCCGGCCGACGGCGCCACGCAGCACGUGUCCACGGCGCCGCAGGGCACGCCCGGGUACGUCGACCCGGCGUACCAACACCGGUACCAGCUCACGGACAAGAGCGACGUCUACAGCUUCGGCGUGGUCCUCAUGGAGCUCGUGUCCUCCAGGCCGGCCGUGGACAUGGCCCGGCCCGGCACCGACGUGAACCUCGGCAGCAUGGCCGUGCGCAUGAUACAGUGCUGCGAGAUCGACCGGCUGGUCGACCCGCGGCUCGGGUACGGGUCGUCAUCGGCGAGCGAGACCAAGUGCACGAUCGACCUCGUCGCCGAGGUGGCGUUCCGGUGCCUGCAGCCGGAGCAGGACGUGCGGCCGUCCAUCGGCGAGGUGCUGGACGUGCUCAGACAGGCUCACCAGAGCGUCACGGCAGAGAAGGGAGCCUCCGCCGUCACCACGGAUGAUGGCGCGGUGCUGCUCAAGAAGAGCAGGGACGGGUCGCCUGAUUCCGUCAUGAACCAGUGGAUCAGCCCAUCAACCACCUCCAAUUAUAGCAGCUGAGACUGACAGUUAUGUACUUACAAAAAUAGGAAAUUUGUGACCCAAUGCCGGCGGAGACAGUUAGGGCCUCUUUGAUUGCAAGGAUCCUAAAAGCACGGCAAUAGAAAGAACAGUGUCCAUGGACACUGAUCGAUCAAAUACGCAUUAUCCAGAAUUUUGCUUUACGGAUAAAGACGGAUAAAUACACAUAAUUUUUGCUUUACGCAUGAUCUCUAUGCUUGGGAAGGAUGUAACCCUUAUAACUGAUGAUAAAUGAAGAAGGGUUUGAAGGGUUUGAUAAAUGAAGAAGGUGGAGAGGAUGCUGCAGUCAAACAAAGGAGGGAUGGCUGCUGCGGUUUGUCGGGAUAGUCAUGGUUUGUUCUUGGGUAGCGCCUCGCUUGUGUUCCCGGGAGUGAACGACCCAGCAAUGUUCCAAGUGUUAGCAUGCAGAGAGGCCUUUGCUUUACCACAAGACCUGCACCUCCAGAAUUUUGUCAUCUCUUUGGAUUCGAAGCAAGUGGUUGCUGACAUUGUUAAAGGUUCAAGAGGAAAGUAUGGAGCCAUUAUUAGUGAGAUUAAGUCUAGCAAAUAAUUUUCAGUGUAAUUUAUAUUCCAAAGGUUGUGCUGUUAACUUUGAUGAAGCACACAGUCUAACCAAGUGUUCUCUUUCAUUGGGUCAAGGACGUCAUGUCGGGUUUGUUCAAUCCCAUGACACUUAUUGUAUCCCACAAUUAUGGCUUUUGAUGAAUAAAAACUUCCUUUCCCCCCUAAAAAAACUUUUUUCUGAGAGCAACUAAGUAAGGAGUACUUUUUCCGGAGCCCCUCCAAAGGUCACUUGGAGCGCUUUUUCACGGUCACUCAAAUUUUAUUUUUUAUUUUUUCUGUACAAAUUUUCUGCUUUUAGAUUACUUUUUGGAUUUCUUGUUUUUCUUAGUAUUUCAAUCAAUAAAUGUGUUUUUUUCCUUUCGCGAGAGGCAUUAAUUUAUUUUCACGAGAGGCAUUAACUUAUGGAAAUGUCUAUCCCUCAACCGACAGAUCAAGCGGAGUACAUCCGUCACCUCCUUCGAUCGACACGUGGCGCGGAGCUGGGCGGAGCUGGUUGGGCGCAAAGCUGGGCGGAGCUGGUUGGGCGCAAAGCUGGGCGCGGUGGUGAGGUUGCUGUGGUCCGAGAGGCCAGCGUGUUUGGAUCAGACGAGCAACUCCCAUCGAGACCCGACCCAUCCCGCGCCGUCAGCAUCCCCGCCGCAGGAGCAAGCUCCAUUGGCCACUCGAGUGCCGCCCCGCCGCCAAGAGCUCGCCGGCCGCCUUCUCUCCAGUCCGGCAAGCAAUGGGACCAUGCCGCCUCCCGUGGUCGGAUCCCGUCGUCAGGAGCUUCUCUGCCCCGUUGGAGAUGCGUCCCUGCUCAUUCCCUGCAGCUUCCCAAGGCCAGCCCCCGCACGCCCGACUCUCCGGUGGGCAUAGACUUGCCCCGUUUUCCCUUUCUUUCCUCCCCCCUGCUGCUUCUCUCUCUCUGACGGCAGCAGCGAGCCAGUGCCGGCCGGAACGAAGGAGGUGGAUCCCGACUGGGUUGAGGUGAGGCGGCGCUGUGUAGUGAAGCCAGCCGAAACGCAGAGCUGAUGCUUCUGCAACCUGACCUUUGUUGCGAAAAAUCCUGAAACAUGACCUUUGUUGCAAAAAUUUCUUCUGCAAAAGUACCUGUAUUACAGAAAGACGAAGAAAAAAAAUCUGCAACAAGCAAAUUGUUUCUGAAAGUCGACCGUUGUUUCAGGAAUUAGCGGGUCCAAAGUUUAUUUCUUGCAACAAAGCAAAAGUUUCUGAAACUCGAUCGUUGUUUCAGGAAUUAACGGGACCGCAACAGCCUAUUAGUUUCUGAAACUGAACAGAUGUUUCAGGUUCUAUUUGGUCGGAAGAUAUCGGAUCGGACGGUCGUGCGCGUAUAUCGGACGGCUAUACCGGUGAUGGGCGGAUGCAUGGCUGCUUGGGCGAUGCGUGGAUGCGUGAUGAGUGUGGGUGUCUUGGGUGUCUGUUCCAUCUAGUCUAAAUAAACACUUCGAGCUGAUCCACCCAUCUUCAUACUAUAUAUCCGGACACUAGCCACCACCUGCAAGUCCCAAAAAACAAUACCUACACUAGUUUCUUUCUGGAAACAGAAUUAUGAACAACCGGGUGGUGAAAUAAAGAGCAAGUAUUGUAGCACAAGGGUUGAUGCAUAUACCCAACUAUCUCUAGAGGUGGAAUCUCUUUUCGAUAACUUAUAUCAUUAGCAAUACAAAAUCAUCUAUCUAUGCAGUGGAUAGAUGUAGUAAUUCUAUAUCCAUGUGGAUCAUUAUAUAUAGACACAGAUGGUUUCCGUUGGAAUCUCGCUUCUUAAUCGAAAUGCAAAACGCAACAUAUAUUGUGUAAAAUUAAUAAGUCACCAUAUGACUUAUUAUUAUCGUCGGUACAUUUGGUACAACCGACGUAGUGAGUUUUUUAUGCACAAGGAUUACUCCUACAAUGAUGAUUAUUCAUGUUUAUGUGUCUACAAUGACGACACAUGUAAUCAUCUAAAUGAUGGAUAAAAACAACACAACUUGUAUAAAAUUAAAAACUGGUCAACCACGGGUUCAAACCCAGGGUGUGUCGCUCGGUUGUGGGUGUGCCUAGCCAUUGGACAAAAUCACAUGUACAUGAUUGAACAUAUUUGCAUACUUUAGAUACUAAGUCUGAUCAACAUAAACGAAGAAAUUUAUUUCAGAAAAAUAGUAUUGGGUCAAUGAUUCGAACCUGCACUCUAAGGCCAGAUAGCAACCACAAAUACCAAUCCAACGCGCAAAAUGUAAUAUUACAAAGUAUAAUUUCUCUUCAUAACAUAAUGUGCUCGUGUGGGUAAAACGACCGCAGUGCAGAUCAUUUUUAACGUGUUAAUUUUUCCCAUUUCAAAAAUUUGUAAAAAGUUACAUACAUUAUAAUCUUCUGUUGUAGAUAUUACAGACACAAUUAAAAUAAAAUAAAUUUAUAAUUUUCAUAUGAUUUCAUAAAAUAUAUACAUAAUAAUUUAACAAAAAUAAGCAUUAUUAAAUUACUAUAAUUAUGAUAGUAUUUUUAUAAAUUUAAAAAUGCUAGAAUUUUAAAUCAAAUAUUAUAUUAAUUAUUAUAAAGUUAAGUAUAUUUUAAUAAAUUCUUAUAUAUGUUUAAAAUUUUUCCAUGUUUGUAAUUCAUGUAGUAUUUAAAGUUUUCAUGCUUUAAGAAAAUGUUUGUAUUGUUUUAAACUUUAUAUGUUAUAUAAAGGUUUGUGUGUUUUAAAAAAAGGAUUCCAAUGCGUCCUUUGAUUACAGAUCUUCACAUGAAUAAUAUUUGAAUUAUACAAACAUUUUUAUAAUUCAUAAGUAUUUCAAAUUAUGUGAAUAUGUUUUAAAAUACAGUAACAUGUAAAAUUUAAAAUCAUAAAUACUCUUAUACUUUAGAAACAUGAGACCUUUUGGUUGGAAUACUAUCUGAGGUUGCUAUAUAACCAUUGGUCGGAUGUAUGAGUCACAAAUCCGUCACUAUAUUUUGCUGGAUUAAAUUCCUUUAAUUUAUGUUGUUUCACAUAGUGUAUAUAAAGCAUAUGAAUCCUUUUAAGACAUGACGUGUAAAUGUUUGAUUGGCUAGUCAUGUCUGCAUGUUAACUGCAAGUCACAAGUUCGAACUCCCACUAGACCAGUUUUAUUUACUUUCUCUAGGAGGGCCUACUUAUAAGAAAAAAUAAUUUCAGGUGGUUUUCCAAAAAAACUAGGCCACAUGCCCUAUUUCCAUACGUAUAGUCAUUGAUAUAUAGCGGGCCACAUGGCACACCGGAACACCCCGUGAGCAUUGUGGAUGUAUAUAGAUGAGAUUUGAACCGUAUUUACACGUCUAUGCCAAGUUAUGUAACCAGUUCGAUGUAUUUUUCAAGUUCAGGCACUAAAGUGAACAUUCAUGGCAACUUCAAGCACCACCUGUGUAUUUACCUCAAAAAAACGCCAAGUUUACAACUUUACAUGGUGCUUAGUCUAGCCACUACUCUCUAAUUUACAGAGACUCGGUUAUAUUCUACACCAACCCAACAACACAUAGACCAUGAUACACUACAACUGUACUUAAAUAACCAUGUGGACCCAGGGCCUAUGCUCGUGACAGGUUCCAUUUGAAACUACUCCCUCCGCCCCAUAAUAUAAGAGCGUUUUUUACACUAGUGUAGUAUCAAAAACGCUUUUAUAUUAUGUGACGAAGCGAGUAGUAUAUAGCUUGCAAGUUAGAAUUGUUGCAUCAGCAUUCUCUAGAAUGAAUUUUCGUCGGAGGAAUGAGAACAGGAAGGGGGUGGUGUGAUACCUUUGCAUGCAUCCUGGAUUAGUAACAGUUACUGGAUACUUGGUUUGCCGACUACAGGAACCAUGGUGCAUGGCCACCAUCAAUACCACAAGUAAAACAACAAGCCAGUUAGUUCUGUAAAAUGAAAAAAAAAUCAAUAGCUUCAUGUCGACGUAUUAUGAUAACAAUCUAAAACAAAAAUAAAUAAAAAGAAAUAGAUGAUACUGAAAUUUAAAGAUUUCACUCACUACCAUGGCUUCAACUUGUGUUACACGGCCAACAAUUUAAAGCGAGAUUACAGCUGCUGUCGCUGGGCACUUGACCAGGAAAGGAGCUAGUUUUGACAACUUGUGCGCAAAUGAAUGGCUGUUACCAGGUCACAAGAAGACCAUUUGAACCAUUCAUUCCAGUUAAUUGACCAGUCCCAACCGGUGACUAGAUUGCUCAGUCUAAACUGAGUCAACAAGACAGCAACCUGUGUUGCCCCAGUUUAAAACUACCUAGAGUAAGGCAACCACACAACCUACCAUUCCACUGAACCAUCUCCUCUGUUCCUCCUUACUGCAGCCAUUUGCGAUGUUCCACACCUGUCUAUUCUUAUGGAUCUUAGCAUCUUCUUUACAAGACUCAAGAACAACGAGCAUGGCGCAAGAAACAGCAAGCUGCCCACCCAAGACCUGCGGCAACCUGACCAUCUCGGAUCCAUUCUGGCUUGUCCAAGAGCAAGGAAUGGAGAGGCCAUGUGGUUUGAUAGACUACCAGGUCUACUGCUAUAACAACAGCCCAUUCCUGAGGAGCACCAUCCAUGAUGGGUUUGGAAUCCUCAACAUCUUCUACAAGAAUCGCACCUUCCUCACUGCCGAUAUUAACAAAAUGGAGGAUUUCAACCGCUGCCAAGUUCCAAUCACCAACACAUCCUUCAAAAUCGGUUUUCUUCCAUUCAAUAUCAGCCAUGCCAACCAAGAUCUGCUGUUCUUCUAUGAUUGCGUCGGUAAACCAGUGGCACCGCAGCUGCGACAUGGACUUGUGCCGAUGCAUUGUGGCAACAACUCAUUUGUUCAUCUCGGCAGAGGGCCUUACAAUGCUUCUCAUAACUAUGGAGAGUACUUCAUAAAGGGUUGCAAGACCACCCUCGUGCCAGUACUGGGAGCAUCAGCAAAGACGGCGAACGCAGGUGACUACGAACAAUUAGUCAGGGAUGGUUUUUUGUUAUCAUGGCCGGUGGUUCCUGAUCAGUUUUCAAGACAAGGUACGAUUAGCAGCUAGUGGUAGCAGUAUGUGUACUUUAUUUGCUAACAUAUAGUCAUAUACAUGAAAAUAUGCAAUGCAAAGAAAAUAAUAGCCUUUACAUAAUUCAGAUGCAUAAAGAUAUAGGCAUUGAAAGAUGCCAGUUGUGGACGAGGUUUAUUUGUUGCACAGUAGAUGCUAUAUGCAUGGACUCCAUCUGUUUGUUUUCACCAUAUAUGAUUAAUAAUUUGUAAUGAAUCAAUAUUCGCCAAGUUACGAAAUUCAAGAAAAUGGAUUGAACUGACAGCUAUACUGGAAUCUUCUUAAUCAUUUAAUUCCAUAUGCUUCACACAAUUAUUCUAUAUUGCUAUGGUUCAUUUUUAUGUUUUAUUAUUUUGUGAUUGAUAGUUACAUUGACUAACCAUAAUAAUUUCUCUGCAGAUGGUAGACAUAACAAGAAAUUAAUUUUGAUAGGUAUGUCUAUCAUUGCUUUUGCUCAGAAAAUACAUGAUACUUCGUGACAAACUUCCAUACUUUGAUGCUAUCUAAAGGUGAACUUUAAGUCUAAAAAUAACCAAAUUAUGGAGAUUUGUAAUUGAAUGACGUAAAAUUGCAAAAAUCCUGAUUUGCUGUAGUAAAAAAAGGAUAGCUUACACAGUCUCAUACUGUCAUACAUAUACUGAUAUAUACUAUCAACUAUAUUAAAUGGUGUUCACUUUUCGUUUUUUUACAGUUUCUCUGUCUGCUACAAUCAGCUUGCUAACAUGUCUAGUUUGGGGUGUGCACCGACAGAAGCAAAAGAUUAGUCUUUUCAUCCUACCAAAGCAGACUGGUAAUAAAUCAAGCACGGAAGAAAUGCUAAGGAGGUAUGGAUCUUUGGCUCCGAAAAGGUACAAAUACUCAGAGCUGAAACAAAUUACUAGCUCUUUCAAGGAUAAACUUGGAGAAGGUGGAUAUGGCAAGGUAUUCAGGGGUAGCCUGCAAGAUGGCUGUGUCGUUGCUGUGAAGCUCCUAAAAGUUUCCAAAGGCAAUGGAGAGGAGUUCCUAAAUGAGGCAAUUAGCAUUGGCAGGACAUCACAUAUUAACAUCGUCGGUCUGCUCGGUUUUUGCUUAGAAGGAGCUAAGAGGGCCCUUGUUUAUGAGUAUAUGGCUAAUGGUUCACUGGAGAAGUACAUUUAUAUAGAGAAUUCAGAUCUAGUUAUUGGAUGGGACAAGUUACAGCAAAUAGUACUUGGCAUCGCACGGGGAUUGGAAUAUUUGCAUCAAGGAUGUAGUACUCGUAUCAUCCAUUUUGACAUCAAGCCUCAGAAUAUACUUCUAGAUCAAGAUUUUUGUCCCAAAAUUGCAGAUUUCGGUUUAGCCAAACUGUGUCACCUCAAGGAUAGCAUCCUCUCUGUCGCCGAAGCAAGAGGUACCAUUGGAUUCAUUGCUCCAGAAGUAUUCUCUAGAGGUUUUGGUGUCGUUUCGACAAAGUCAGAUGUUUAUAGCUAUGGAAUGAUGCUACUGGAAAUUGUAGGGGGGCGAAUAAACGGAGAAAAAGAUAAUAUAGAGAGCUCAAGCGAUGCCUAUUUCCCAAACUGGAUUUAUGACAAUAUAGCAGAACACGUACAAAGUUGUGAAGUCAUCUACGACCUUGAAGAGACCAUGAGAAAGAUGGCCUUAGUUGGGCUGUGGUGCAUACAAACUAAUCCCGGAAACCGUCCUACGAUGAGCAAGGUGAUUGAUAUGUUGGAAAAGAGCAUCAAUGAAUUGGAGAUGCCACCGAAGCCGUUUCUUUCCUGUCCCUCAAUCCCGUCACAUUAGUCGCCUCACACAAGUUAUGAUUACUCAUAAGAUGUUCUGCCUCCCCUGGUCUGUUACCAUAGCCCAAAAGUAGGAUGGAGUGGAUAAAUGUAAAUUCGAAUUACCACUGCAUUUACCAUUAAGAUCUUCUAGCGCAUGAACCGUGUGUAAAAGAAAUGUGAAUUUUCAGACGUUACAUCCUGUCUCUCAGGAUGGCUGUUCGAGAUUAUUGUACUUGAUACGAGUCAAAAGUCAAAAUACGAAUAACCAAAUAAAAGCUGUUUGGGUGAUUUAUGUGUUUGCUUUUCUGACUUACUAAAGGCACCUAACUCCCGUUCUAGCAGGUACAAGAACUCCCGUUCGGUAGGCUAUAAGUUUGGGACAGACAGCUACCAAGAUCCAUACACACAAGCGACAGCUAGGCCUCCAAACCAUAAUAAGCGUCCUUCAGGCUAUAUUGUAGUUACGACCUGACGACCCAACAAAAUUCAGUAACCUGGAUUGGAUGCUAAACAUUGCAACAAUGCAUGCCAAGAAUGAAGUAUCAUAUCGACGAACCUAGCAUAUAAAAUCAACAGAUCGUUGUGACGUGCAGUAUUAACAACCAACAAAAAUCUAAUUACAUUAGACAAAAUUGACCUUGUACCUCCCUUGCCGCUCUUCGCGAGCACCCAGUCAAAUAGCACCGACCAUUUUUCCUCCCGGGCGUACAGACGCUCUGCUCCAGGCGCCGGCGCAGAUCGCACUACCUCGCUCUACUCUCCCUCGGCAUCACCGCCGCGGCCACGCAUUUCCCGCCCUGACCACCGGCGCCGCCGUGGCCGUGGCAGGCCGUGNNNNNNNNNNNNNNNNNNNNNNNNNNNNNNNNNNNNNNNNNNNNNNNNNNNNNNNNNNNNNNNNNNNNNNNNNNNNNNNNNNNNNNNNNNNNNNNNNNNNGACGGUAAAGAGGGGGGGGGAGGAGGUGGAGGCAGACGGCAAAGAAGAGGGGGAAGGCAGACGACAAAGCCUCCGUUAGCCCCUAACGGAGGCAACGCCUGCCGGCUGCCGUCUCGACAUAUUUGCCGACUGCUCUUAUGAAAAGCUGACGGCAAAGCUCUUUGCCGUCCGCUUCGGUGAGGCAGACGGCAAAGAAGCUACAAUGCCGUCGUAGGCUGACGCAGAAAUUUUGCCGACAGUGGGAUUCUUUGCCGUCUGUGAUUUACUCUUUGCCGUCUGUGAUUUACUCUUUGCCGUCCGUGAUGGCAGACGACAAAGAAGCUAAUUCCUGUAGUGGUUUACCCGGAUAUGUUGUCUUUGUUUAGAUUUUGGUGCUUGAUGUGUGAUUAUUUUGCAACAUGGAUAAUGACCGUCUUCCUUUCUAACGGAUGUGAGCGACGGUUUCUUUCUUUGCCAAUGGAGUUUUGUUGAUCCAAACACUUUGCUCUUAGGACCAAGGUGCAUUUCGGUCUUUAGAUCCCAGACAACUCGGGUUGCUCAUCCACCUCAAGAAACCUCAAUGAUGAUUACCUUUGUGCAGUACUCGUGGCAGCGAUGUUGGUUCCUACCUGCAAGAGUGCUCUUCUAUGUGUGGAUGUUUAUCCUCAACGGUAGGUCGUCGGUGUUAGAGGUUGUUAUUUUUUUUUGUCUUGUAAAGUCCAUUAUGUAAAGCUACACUUGUAUCGUUCUUCUCUAAAUAAAGCAAUUUGUGGUUCAGAAAGGGCAAAAUCUUUAUUCUACCCUUCCCCCCCCCUCAAAGCAUUUUUUGGAGGACACCCAUAUCCACCUCGCGAGCAUCCGUACUUUGCACUUGUGGGGAAUCUUUGUGGCACAAUCUAUUACGAAAAUGGUUCAAUGUGGCCGACAUGUUCCCACCCUACUUCUCUUUCUGCCUGCACCAUCGCCUCCCCUCCCUCGCUUCAACGCCACAUGUGACCGUUUUUGGCCUCCCCCAGGACCCUGCCGACAAUGCCAUGGAUCCAUCUCAACCGCCGCGUCCCAGUCCCUGGGUUAGGAAUGAGAUCUCGCAAUUUUAGCGGUCAUUGUCCCUCCAAUGGUCUCCCGUCACCGAUACGGCCAACACCUCAUCCACCCUGCCAACGAUGAAUUGGGCUCAUACACUACAAGAAAUAUGCUAACUUGCGACCUUCAAUAUUGGUCAUCGAAUAGUCGUUGAUUUCCAUUUAUGACCUUUUUACGACCAAAACGAGACGGUCAAAAGGUGAGUGUCUCUAAUAAACUAUAACGACCUUUCUUGUCAUAGACAUUUACGACCAAACAAAAGGUCAUAAAUUAGAAUCAGCCCGAUCCAUUCCGGUCGUCUACAUGGGCCAAACCCAAUAAUUCAGCCCAUUAAUUUUUUUCUAUUUUUUUUAUUAGCUGCAUGGGUCGGGCCCAAUAAUUUGGCCUUUUAAUUUCUGGGAUGGAGCCUUUUACUCAGCAAAUUUUUUAUAGUCCACUCUUGUUUUGGGUCACAACCUUUUUAGUCCAGUUCUUGUUUGGGCCUUGUCCUUUUAUUUUAAGAGAUGUAGCCUUUUAACUAUAUUUUUUACAGUCAACUCUUUUUUUAGGCCCAAGCCUUUUUAGUCUAAUUCUUGUUUGAGCCUCGGCCUUUUUGCAGUCCAACUAAGUUUAGAACCCAAACAAAAUGGGUCCAAACAUAACUCAAAUAAUUCACAACUUCACAAAAUGCAUAACUUCACACGUGCACAGCUUCACAAAAUGCAGUACUUCACACGUUCAGAAACUGCAUAGCUUCACAGUUUACAAUCUUUACACUACACCGCAACCCAGAUAUGUCUACUACUGCCUACUAUUACAAUACAUAUGCUACUCUUUGUUGAUAGGCUGCAUAGCUUCACACUUGGCUUUCGUACUUCACCUGUGCAAAAUAUUAGAAUAAGGUGUAAACAACAUCAAACAUUAGACAAUGAUGGAUCCAAUAGCUUGUAAGCAAGAAUUGGCAACGAAAUCCAUGUACAUAAAUGGUAUGACUAAGACUAACCAGCAUGUGUACAUGGAGUGUCUAAAAUUUUCUCACUAGCUAGGUGUUUUUUGGUAUAUAAUAUACUGACAUGUGCAACUCUAACUAAAUUGAUCAUAGAAAUGAAAAGACCUACAAGAAUAAUUUCAGUCAGAAUCCAUGCAUGUAAAAUUUUGAGCACCAAAAUAACAAAUCUACCAAACCAGAUAAUACUGUUGCAGUUACUACUCCAGUUAGUAUGGAAGAGCAAGCGGGAGUACUCAGAAAAUCAUUACUGCUCAACUAAUGCUACAGGAACUAAAACAACACACACAUGCCUAAUGAUCAAGUUAAUGGAACAGAGAUUAUUAUGGAACAUUAAUGUGGCAUGGCAAGGUUCAUCACAUAAUUUCAUCUUUGCUAAGCUAAUGUUAGAUCUGAACUAAAAAUUAUCCUCAUUCCAAGUCAACAAUCAACAAGACCUAUAUACACGAUCGAAAACAAGAACAAGGCUGUAAAAUUUCCGAGAAACAAGACAGUGUACAAGGACAUAUAUAUGGAUGGUAGAUAUAGGUUUUUGUAAUCUGAAAUUACAAAAACAGCAAGGUAACAAAUGGUAAAAGUGAGCACGGAUGGUAUUGCAAUGCGUGGAAACAAGGCCUAGGAUUCAUACUUUCACUAGUGAAGUUCUCUCAACAAUGAUAACAUAAUUGGAUCAUAUAACUAGCCCUCAACAUGCAACAAAGAGUCACUUCAAAGUCACUAAUAGCAGAGAACAAACGAAGAGAUUAUUGUCGGGUACGAAACCACCACAAAGUUAUUCUUUCUGAUCGAUCUAUUCAAGAGUCCAUAGUAAAAUAGCACGAAGCUAUUCUUUUCGUUCAAUCUUUCAUAGAGUUCGUACUAGAAUAACACCUUAAGAUACAUAUCAACCAAGACCCUAAUGUCACCUAGAUACUCCAUUGUCACCUCAAGUAUCCGUGGGCAUGAUUAUACGAUAUGCAUCACACAAUCUCAGAAUCAUCUAUUCAAUCAACACAUAGAACUUCAAAGAGUGCCCCAAAGUUUCUACCGGAGAGUCAAAAGGUGUGCCAACCCAUAUGCAUAGGUUCCCAAUGUCACGAAACCCGCAAGUUGAUCAUCAAAACAUACAUCGAGUACUCACAUGAAUAUCCAAACGUAUGUCAACCCAUAUGCAUAGGUUCCCAAUGUCACAAACCUGCAAGUUGAUCAACAUAGAUAGACACGUGCAAGACAUACAUCAAAUGUUCUCAAAGACUCAAUCCGAUAAGAUAACUUCAAAGGGGAAACUCAAUUCAUUACAAGAAUGGAGAGGGGGAAGAACAUCAUAAGAUCCAGCUAUAGUACCAAAGCCCGCGGUACAUGGGUCAAUCCAUUUAACCCAUUUUGUAAAUCGCAGGUUACACGGAAGUCCAUGAAUACAAUUUAAAUAGGCUUUUAUGUGGGCACCAUGGACGAUUCGUGACCACUUGCAGCCUGACAUGGCGACCUGCGCUCCCAGGGCAUGCGGGGACGUUAGUACGUCGGGUACCCGUUCUGGCUCGACAGUCUACACCCACUCUACUUCAGUGGCAUGUGAAAUGAUAUCUCCCUCUCAAUCGGUUGGAGGAACUGUGAAAGUAUGCACCUGCCUGAUAGCUCACGGCGCCAUGUGAUACUAAGACCUCUAGGAAGAUUAUCCGAGGGAAUUGGUAACUUGACCUGCAGCCACUCUUAAUGUUGUGGCAAGUCUUCCCUUGCACAUAUGCAUGGAUGUGCGAGGACUGCUGUUGUGGGUAUAAGUCUGACAGUAGAAGUAUGGGGUACGAAAGUAUAUGGGCAGAGCCUUAGCUACGGUGAGGAUGUAUGAGUUCAGGCCCCUCUACGGUGGAGGUAAAAGCCCUACAUCUCAGUGCUCUUGGGAGCUUUGUGUCGAUUGGAUUAUAGGAUUACAGCAAGUGCCAACCCCCGUACCAGUGGUGAAGGGCGGCUUAUAUAGAGUGCGCUGCCCUUCAUAAUGGCCUGGUGGACAGGGGUGGAAUAGUGGCGAGUAAAUGCUUACGUUACAGGUAACGUAAGCUUUAAAUGCUAAUAAUGGUGUAUGAAAACGUAUGACCGUUGCCCUCCUGGGAGGUUACGAUGUACAGAGUGGAUUCCAGUCGGUACGUUAGAUAUGCUCCGAGUGGAUCGUCACCAACUGGAUGAUGGGGGCGCCCUCAGUUCAGUCGGAACUGUCUAAGGGCAUUGUCUUGUAUGAAGGGUAGUCCUUGGGUAUGACCUAUAGGGCAGACCUAUGACCCUACCCUGGGACUAUAACCCCAUCAUUAGUCCCCGAAUGGAUCGGGGUUGGAACGAUGAAGUGAUGUCUGGAGUUUGGAACCGAUUGGUAUUGAGGUGACUUUAGCGUUGUUUGCCUCGAUCCAUUUUAUCCUUUCAGCCAGUGAUCCGAGUGAAUAUACCAGUGAAACAAACCGUCAGGGACCGAGUGCUUCCGCGGAAUCUUUCGACGUGACUGGUUAAACUGACAACGCUGGAUUUUCCGGGAUCCUCAAAUUUCGGUUGCCGCGCGCUCAGCGGGGAUGACGACAUCGCCAUCGAGUAGGUUUCGCCUCCUCGAUUACCGCGCCGUUAUCUUCUCCACUAAUCUUGCAGUGGCCGGUUGGGGGGAUAAGAUCAUGGGCCCACCUGUAGGUGACCCAGUCGGAGGCCUAUUAAAGCUUCCCCGACGGACUUUCCUAUUGCGCUGCUCAUACUCCUCCCAUUAAUCUCGCUCCUCCCGCAACUCUCUGCACACCUCCAGCCACCUCCUUCCCCUCCUCCUCUGCAGAUCUGUCGCCCUCGCCAUGACGAAGGGGCAGACAAGCAAGCUCGAGGCGCAGAAGAAGUAGAAGAAGAAGGGGGCGGCCUCCACUCAGCGGUGGCAGCGGGCGUUGCCGGCGGGCUGGAUCCAGGGGGAUUUCCUCCCCUCCUCGGUGACGGAGAACGACGUGCUGGAUCUGGUGGAGCAUGGCAUGGUCGUCAACAAGUCCUGGAGGCUGCCGGAAGGCGAGACGGAGCUGGCGCCGAAGGAGGGGGAGCGCGUUCUGCUGCUCAGCCACGUGGCCAGAGGUUUCUCCUUGCCUCGCCAUCCCUUCUUCCGAGGUAUCAUGAAUUACUCCGGGGCACAGCUCCAUCAUUUUCCUCCGAAUGCGAUAGCUCACCUUUCCGCAUUCAUCACCCUCUGCGAGUGCUUCAUAGGAUGUCCUCCCCACUGGGGGCUCUAUAAAUAUGUCUUCUCCGCUAGAUCCCAAACUGUUAAAAAGCGUAGCCAGUCGGAUGAUAAGACACACAUCCUCCAGCUCUGCGGGGGUUUAGGCUUUCAGAAGAAAACAAAGAGUAGCUAUCCCUCUCUCCAGCUAUCUGAGUCAGUUAGGAACUGGCAAUCGUCCUGGUUCUAUUGCCAGGACAUUGCUUGUCCGAAUGCUUCGAGUGGGCUGCCACCUUUCAGUUUAGACCGUCCGGGCCCUCCCAGGAAGCUAGCGCUCUCUAAGGGAGAAAGAACCCAGAUCCAGCCUUUGGUCGACGCGCUGAUAGCCGUCGUCCGGAGGGGAGUCACCGGCAUGGACCUGUUGGAGACUUUUCUAGGUCGGCGAAUCCAGCCGCUGCAGGCCCGAGACCACGCUAUGUGGCAUUACACGGGGCCUUCGGAUACCACUCGGUCUCAUCCAGAGGACGUGAGCGGGGAGACUGUGAGUGCGUGGGUCCGCAGCAUCACAGGCACGUGUGAUAACCCCGUGGGAGCUCGGCGGGUGAAGCCCUUCCGCGCCGAAAAUCCUCCUCCGAAUGAGGUGAGUACAUGUUGUCGAGUGCUUUUAACCUUCUCAGCUUUAUUGCUUUUCUUGUCUCGCUGACUGACGUUGCCGACUGUGUUUUGUGCAGGAGUGGACGAACUGACAUUCUGCAGUCUCGAAUGGGAAUCCAGUCGAGGAAGAGGAAGACAACAUGGAGGGCAGCGCAGAUAGCGCCGAGUACGUCUCUGACAGUGGGGAUACGGAGGAGGAGACGGAAGAGGAGGAGGAGGAGAGUGGAGAGCAGAGCACGUCACCCUCACCACCAGAGCACCGAACCAAGCGCCGUCAUGACCCCGCUGCUCCACAGGCUCCUCUCGUAGCCCCGAAUGCUCCUCCGGCUCCUCCCGUGGCCCCGAGUGCCCAGAGCGUGAAGAGAACCAGGGGUGCUUCCGCCGAGCCCGUGAAUCAGCCGUCCAAGGUGGCUAAACCCAGCGGGUCUAAGCCUCGGAAAGCUUUGCCUCGGAUGAGGAUCGCUGUUCCGGUCGCCUCAGCGUAAGUGUCUUGUUCUUUCAUCUUCCUUCAGUAUCCGAUUGAACUCCUCUUUUUGGGAACUCAUGUUUAUCCGUCGAGUGGAUUUCACUCAACAGAGCUGCUACCUCUGCCACCUCUCUGCCGCGCCAGGACGAUGAUCCCAUGGACACGGAUAACGCCGCCACGUCCCAGCAAGGUACGUUGUCACGACUCCGAGAGCUGUAUUACUGUUUCACGAGUGCUGUCUUUGAUCUUGACCUUUUUCUGUAAUUUUAUUUUGUUUAGUCGGGCUUCCUUCAGAGGUGAUCCAUCUGGACGACGACGACCAAAGGAGGUCGGAGCCAGCUUUGGCGCCUGUCCCUGGGGUUACCCAACCUGCUGCCAAUCCCGCCAUGAACGUGCCGCUGACUGAGACGGUGCCGCCGACUAAGACGGUGGCCCUCACGGCGGAACCGACUGGAGCGGAGCUUGGGAUGCCCAGGGAGCCUUCUGCCGUGCCGGGUCCGUCGGCUGUUCAAUAUUAUGCCCGACGCCUCCCGGAAGAUCAGGUAGGAGCCGCCAAGGACGCCAUGGUGCAGGUGGAGGUGAUGGUGGGCGACGCCAAGGGACCGUAUGACUCCAUCGCGUCCCUGUACAAGAAGAGCUUGGAGCUUCGGGACGAUAUCCGAGUAAGUGCGCUAGUAAGUGUUUACAUUCCUCUUGGUACCCAUUGGGGGUUUCAGCGAGGUACUCGAAUGCAAUAGGUUGGUUUUGCAGUGGUUUCACUCCGAGUGAACCCAGUGGGUGUAGUCUCCGAGACUUCUGCCGAGUGCUUGCACCGGCAGUUGUCUUUAUAUGUAUUUUCAGUAAUCUGAACAGAUCAGAGCUGAUCUGCCCGAAUGGUACCAGUGGGGGCAUGCGGAGUGCACCCACUGGGUGUAAUCCCCGAGAGUAGUGUUACUCGGGUCGAGAGAUAGUAAUCUCAUAGUGUUGUUGGUUUGCUAUGGAGCUCAAUGGGACCGACCUGUUCGAGCUUCAUACCAAUGGGGUCACUCUUAGUGAACCCACUGGGUGUAGUCCCCGAGACUGCUGUCGAUUGCUUGCAUCGGCCGGGGUCUGAAGAAUCUCGAGUUUUGAUUGUUUUGUCAUAUCUAUCGAGACUUGUUCCUUGUUGAAUCUGGCUGAUCCUCCCUUUGUGUCUCUUUGGCAGAAGACUUGUGAAAUGGGAUCGUCUUAUAAUGCUCUAAAGGCUGAGAAGACCCAACUUGCUGCGGACUUGGAGGUAGCUGUGAAUGAUCUGGUUGGCAUGAAGAAGGAUCUCGCUGAACGAGAGAAAUCUUUGGAGGAGUCCCGGGAGACCAACAAGCCAUUGCUAGCCGAAGUAGAAAAAAUGAAGAGGGAGAGAUCCGAAUGGAUGGGCCAGCUGAAGGUAAUGAACACUCGAUGCAGAGCGCAGGAGAACUACGUCGGCGACUGGGCGAAGAAGAUGGUCGCACUGCUUGGUGGUAAGUUCUUGCCGAGUGCUUUUUGACUUUGGAGUUCACUCCGCGCUUAUUUCCUGCUUUUCUUUUCUUUGCAGAUUUCUGUCGGGACGUUGAGGCCGAAACAGCUGAAAUUAAACGGUCGCUUGUUCCGAAUGUUCCACUCGGCGAUGAAGCUAACCGGGACAUGUUCCGAGUGCAUUCUCGCCUUAACAGGGUGGGUCCUUUCAUUGGUCGCCUGAGAAGAGCUGUCGGCCGAAUCGACAAGGAGCUGUGGCCUGAAGAUGACUCCCGGAACGAGAUAGAGGGGUUGAUGACUCGACUGGAGGGCGUCCCAAGCAGAGUGCACACAUGGAAGAAGUCUGCCGCUCGAUGUGGUGCAGACGUGGCGUUGUCUCUGGUCCGAGUGCACUGCAAGGAAGCCCGUGAAGACAAGCUGAAGACGUUGCAGGUCGCCAACACCAAGAAGCUUCGAUUCGAAGAUUUCAUGGAGACCUUCCUCGACACAGCCACUUGGAUUGCAGACGGAAUCGACCUCGACACCUUUGUGGAGCCUGCCAGUCCCGGUGACGCUUGAUAAACUUUAUGUUGAACGCACAUUUACCUCGGUAUGCCGAGUGGAAUCUGUAUUAAACUUUGGCCACUGCUGUUGGCCGGUACAUUCGUGGUUCGGUGUGGAUAAACUUGAUUUACACCGAGCCGACUGAUCAUAGAUCCAACUUGAAUUCGAAUCGGAUCUUUUGCUCUUCUUUCGCUGAGUUUUUUUUGACACGAUUUUGGCUCGUGGUUUUUGUUUGGGCGUCUCUUGGUGAAGCCAAUGGCAACCAUGCGGAGCAUGUAGUUGCCAGUUGUCUUCACAUCCACAUGAGCCUCAAUGAGGGUCUGCUAAGCCUCCGAGUGUAUCUCGAGUGCCCACUCGGAGGAAGCUUUUUUACUUAGGCGACUCUGGUUUGCAUCUAAGUCUCUGAGUGUGACUUGGAAUGCACACUCGGAGCAAUUUGUUUACUUAGGCAACUCUGAGUCGCAGCUAAGUCUCCGAGUGUGAAUUUUGGCGCACACUCGGAGCGAGUUUUUACUUAGGCGACUCUGGGUCGCGGCUAAGUCCCCGAGUGUGACUUUUAUUGCGCACUCGGAGCGGGGUGUUACUUAGGCGACUCUGGGUCACAGCUAAGUCCCAGAGUGUGACUUUUCAUGCACACUCGGAGCGAGUUGUUACUCAUGUAGUUGUCAGUUGUCUUCACAUCCACAUGAGCCUCAAUGAGGGUCUGCUAAGCCUNNNNNNNNNNNNNNNNNNNNNNNNNNNNNNNNNNNNNNNNNNNNNNNNNNNNNNNNNNNNNNNNNNNNNNNNNNNNNNNNNNNNNNNNNNNNNNNNNNNNGGCCGUGGCAGGCCGUGCGAGCACGCGCGGCGGGAGGGGCCAGAGACUCUUCGUCGCGCGGGUCACGACGGCAGCAGCGCCGGCACGGGAGGGAGGUGGCGCGGCGAAUCGAGGCAUGGCAGAUCAGCCGCCGCCGGCGGCGGCCUAAAGCUGGCAGAUUUGGGCUUUCGACAUUUCCCCUGCAACCCCCCAAAACGCUCACGUGGGCCAGCUUGGAUUAUAUCCCUUCUGUUUUGUCCCGUAAUAUAAGAAAUAAAAAACAAAUCCUUGGGCUCGAUUGACUUGACCAAUCGACUGGACCCGUUGACCGUUGUCCCUUUUAAAAAGUUAGUAUAUAACUAAUUUAACAAAGUUCAUGCUUUAAAAAAGGUUCACGGAUAUUUAAAAGAUCACGAAUUUGAAAAGAGUUUCCGGGUUACAUGGACUUACAAAAGUUCAUGAAUGUGAAAUAAAAUUGGGUUUCAGAAAAAUUGAAAUAAAAUUUGAAUAAUGUUCAUCAAUUUGGAAAAGAAAACAAAAAACAUGUCCUAGAAAACCCAGGAGGAAAACGCCCAAAAAAUGAUGAAAGCCAAUCGAGCCCAAACCCGGUGAGAGGAGGUCCUAUCUGACGCUCUUUGCGGUACAAUGUCCACCGGACGCACAGGCAGUCUCCUGACUGGUUCGGCCAUGUCGCUCGCGACCGGUAUAUAACAACUGUUCACAUUCCCAAACUUGCUCGAGGUUUUAAAUAUUGUUCUGCAUUCAAAACACUGUUCUUAAAUUUAGAAAAUUUUCACACUUUCAUAAAAUUCAAAAUGUUCUAGAUUCAGAGCAAAAUAAUUUAAACUGAGAACAAUUGGAAAAUAAUGAAUUUGUUUCGAAAUGAAAAGGUAGCCUAUAUAGGUGAACAAAAAACUGAAACCAAAACAUUUUUCUAAACCAACAAACGACUUUCCAAAACAGGAACAUUGUUUGAAUUGGUUUAGAAAGUUUGUGAACAAAAAUUGAAAACAAGAACAUUUUUUGAAAUUUGUGAAAAAAUAAAAAAACAGGAACAUUUUUGAAACUUAAAAACAUAUAUUGGAAGGCAAAUUUUUUUUCAAAUAUGUGCACAUUUUUUAACGAAUCAAUGAAUGUUUCUGAAUUUCUGAAAAAAAACUGAAACAGGAACAUUUUUCAAACUUAUGAACAUUUGUUUUGAAAGGUGAACAUUUUUCUAAAUACGCGCACAUUUUUUGAAAACAAGCACUAUUUUUGAAUUUCUGAACAAAAUUUCAAACAGGAACAUUUUUUUGAAAGGUGAACAUCUUUUAAUAAUGAUGAAAUGUUUUGGAACUUCUGAACAAAAAAAAAAAAACUGAAAAAAAUGAACUUCCAAAUAUUUUUUAAAAUUUUGAACAAAUUUUGAAGUUCCAAAAAGUAAAAUUAAGAAUAAAAAACGAGUAUAAAAGGAACUACAAUAGCAAGAGCAAAAAAGGAAGAGAAAUACUAACAAAGAAAAAGGAAACAGAAAACGAAAAACGAAAAACGAAAAACAAGAAAUAAAUAACCGAAAACCACAUAAAACUGGUUCUGGAACCUUCUAGAAGCUUCCUAAAACCUGUUAGAAACUUUCUAUCAGGUUCCCAAAACCGGAAAGUGUAACCCAUAAGUUAUCUAGUAAUUGGUCCGGCCCACCUUGUUCACUAGCUCGCUCUUUGUGCGAGUUGGCGACUGUUGGCCACAUAGAACGGCAAAUAGGAAUUUCCAAAAAACAAACAAUGCCAGCAGAUGAUGUGAAGAGAAAGUAUUACUCAUACAUGGGACAGACUAUUACAAUAGAACAAGAUUCAUGAAGGUGUGCGCUCUUUACAUAAGCAUCGUAUCUCGCACAUGAAGCGCUAAAUAGGAUAUGGCUACAUCUAUGGUCACAUCCCAAACACGCAUCAUUGGGCGAGACUUAUCCCUUCGUCUCUUCAUUAAAAACUCCACGUGCUCGAUCGCCAUAAUAGUUCUCAAUAUUGUAAUUUAAGUUGAAAAGGUGGUCUAAUUACACCGUCAUUGUUAUUUACAAAUACAGUUGGCCACAACUCUAACAGCUGCCAUCAAAACUUUCCCUCACGCCAGCGCAUUGGUCCUCCUCCUCUUCCCUGCGCGACAGCCUCAUCAGCGCCAAGAGGGGUGGAGACUCGUCGGUCUGUUUCCUUUUUCCUCCUUAGGUUUUGUUUCCUUAGCGAUAUCAAGGAGGUGGUAACAGUGAUGUCAUGCUAGAAUAAGGUUACCCAGGUAUCUCCAACAUCGAUGGCGUCCGAUCAAACAUCGACGAAAGGGCAUGUGAGAGUUCGUUCACUACUGGAAAAUAGUUUUUUGCCAUCUGCCAAAUCUUUGCCGUCAGCUAGCUGAUGGCAAAGAGUGUCUUUGCCAUCAGCUGCCACAGAGCAGACGGCAAAGCACUGGGUGAUGGCAUAGAAUGUUUUGCCAUCAGUCACAUCUUUGCCGUCAGCUAGCAGACGGCAAAGAGUCGCACAGCAGACGGCAAACAUGUAGGUGGGCCCACCUGACCGCGGGGACGUUAGGUCAAACUGGAGUCCCUUCUUUGUCGUCUGCUAGCGGACGUCAAAGAGUCCGGAGGCAGACGACAAAGAGUCUAGACUCUUUGCCGUCCGCCGACAAAGAGCUAACUCCGUUAACGGCUCUUUGCCCCCACCCCGCCCCUCUCUCUCUCUCUCACCCACACUGUGUAACGGCUNNNNNNNNNNNNNNNNNNNNNNNNNNNNNNNNNNNNNNNNNNNNNNNNNNNNNNNNNNNNNNNNNNNNNNNNNNNNNNNNNNNNNNNNNNNNNNNNNNNNCGUUACAGGUAACGUAUGCCUUAAAUGCUAAUAAAGGUACAUGAAAACAUAUGACCGUUGCCCUCCAGGGGGGUUAUGAUAUACAAAGUGGAAUCCAAUCGGUAAGUUUGAUACGCUCCGAAUGCUCGUCUCCGGCUCGAUGAUGGAGGGAUCGUCACCGACUGGAUGAUGGGAAGUCCUUAAUUCAGUCGGAACUGACUAAGGUCCUUGUCCCUUAUGAAGGGUAGUCCUUGGGUAGGACAUAUAGGGCAGGCCUAUGACCCUACCCUAGGACUAUAACCCCAUCAUUAGUCCCCGAAUGGAUCAGGGUUGGAACGACGAAGCGAUGCUUGGAGUACGGAUCCGACUGGUAUGGAUGCGACUUUGGCGUUGUUUGCCUUGAUCCAUUUUAUCCUCUUGACCAGUGAUCCGAGUGGAUAUAUCUGUGAAACGAACCGUUAGAGAACGAGUGCUUCCGCGGAAUCUUUUGACGUGACCGGUCAACUGACAGCAGCGGAUUUUCUAGGAACCUCAAAUUUCGGUUGCCGCGUGCUCACCGGGGAUGACGACAUCGUCAUCGAGUAGUUUCUGCCGCCUCGAUUACCGCGCCUUCAUCUCCUCCACUAAUAUCGCAACAGCCGGUCGGGGGAUAAGAUUUCGGGGCCACCUGCUAGUGACCCAGUCGGAAGCUUAUUUAAACCUCUCCAGCGAGGGUUUCUCGUUGCGCUCACUUGAUUACUCGCACUCGCCCCGCUUCUCCCAUGGCUCUCUGCGCAUCCCAAGCUUCCCCCUUCCUCUCCUCCCCCGCGGAUCUGCAGCCUCCACCAUGACGAAGGGGCAGACGAGCAAGCUCGAGUCGCAGAAGAAGAAGAAGAAGAAGGCGGCUCCUGCUCAGCGGCGACAGCGGGCACUGCCGGCGGGUCAGAUCCAGGGGGAUUUCCUCCCCUCCACGGUGAUGAUGAAUGACAUGCUGGAGCUGGUGGAGCAAGGUAUGAUCGAAAACAAGUCGUGGAGGCUGCCGGCGGAGGGCGAGACGGAGCCGGUGCCCCAGGAGGGGGAGCGCGUCUUGCUGCUCAGUCACGUGUACCGAGGCUUCUCUCUGCCUCCUCAUCCCUUCUUCAGAGGUAUCAUGAACCACUUCGGGGCGCAGCUCCAUCAUUUUCCUCCCAACGCAAUAGCUCAUAUUUCUGCAUUCGUCGUGCUUUGCGAGUGCUUUAUCGGUUGUCCUCCCCAUUGGGGGCUCUUUAAGUACAUCUUCUCCGCUAGAUCCCAAACCGUCAAAAGACUUAGCCAAUCGGACGACAAAACUCAUAUCCUCCAGCUCUGCGGAGGCUUAGGCUUCCAGAAGAAAAACAAAAGUAGCUAUCCUGCUAUUCAGUUGUCCGAGUCCGUUAGGAACUGGCAGUCGACUUGGUUCUAUUGCCAGGACGUCGCUUGUCCGAAUGUCGCAACUGGACUGCCACCUUUUAGCCUAGACCGACCGGCUCCGCCCAGGCAGCUUGCGCUCACGAAGAUGGAAAAGAUCCAGAUUCAGCCUCUGGUCGAAGCGGUGAUAGAUGUCGUCCGCAAGGGAGUCACCGGCACGGAUUUGCUGGAGAUUUUUCUGGGUCGGCGCAUCCAGCCUUUGCAAGAUCGACACCACGCCAUGUGGCACUACACGGGGCCUGAGGACUCCGCUCGGACUCACCCCAAAUGCGUGACCGGGGAGGUUGUGACGGUGUGGAUCCGCAGCAUCACAGGCGCCUGCGAUAACCCCAGAGGAGCCCGGCGAGUGAAGCCCUUCCGCGCUGACAACCCUCCUCCGAAUGAGGUGAGUAUAUCUUGUCGAGUGCUUACAAUUAUCUUAGAUUUAUCGCUUUUUCUUGUAUCACUGUCUGACGUCUGAUGUUGUCGACUCUAUCUCGUGCAGGCGUGGACCAACUGGUUUUCUCCCGUCUCGAACGGGAAUCCGGCUAAGGAAGAGGAAGGCAGCCAGGAGGGCAGCAUGGAGAGCGUCGAGUACGUCUCCGACAGUGCAGAGACGGAGGAGGAGUCCGAAGAGGAGGAGGGGGAAGUUGGGGAGCAGAGCUCGCCACCCCCACCACCAGAGCCUCGAACUAAGCGCCGUCACGAACCCGUGACUCCGUCGGCUCCUCUAGCGGCCCCGAGUGCCCCGCCAGCUCCUCCCAUGGUUCCGAGCGCCUUGCCAGCUACUCCCGUGGCUCCGAGUGCUCGGAGCACCAAGAGGACCAGGGACGCUGCUGCUGAGCCCGCGGGCCAACCUUCCAAGGUGGCCAAACCGAGUGGAUCCAAGCCUCGGAAAGCUUUGCCUCGGAUGAGGAUCGCCGUUCCCGUUGCCUCAGCGUAAGUGUCUUGUUCUCCUAUCUUCUUUCAGUAUUUGAUUGAACUCAUGCUUAUUGGUCAAGUGGAUUUUACUCGACAGAGCUGCUACCUCCGCAACCUCUCUGCCACGCCAGGAAGACGACCCCAUGGAUACGGAUAACGUUGCCACAUCCCAGCAAGGUACGUUGUGGCGACUCCGAGAGUUUGCAUUAUUGUUUCGUGAAUUUUGUCUUUAAUCUUGCCCUUUUUCCGUGGUCUCAUGUCGUUCAGUCAGGCUUCCUUCAGAGGUGAUUCAUCUGGAGGAGGAUGACCAGAAGGGGUCCGGGCAAGCUUUGGCGCCUGUCCUUGAGGUUGUUCCAUCUGCUACUGCUCCCGCCAUGGACGCGCCGCCGACCGAGACGAUGCCGUUGACUGAGCCGACUGGAGCGGGACUUGGGAUGCCCAAGGAGUCUCAUGUCGUGCCGGGUCCGUCGAAUGUCCAGUACGACGCCCGACACCUCCCGGAAGAUCAAGUGGGAUCCGCCAAGGAGGCUAUGGUGCAGGUGCAGUUGAUGGAGGGUGAUGCGAAGGGGGCGUACGACGCCAUCGCAUCUUUGUACAAGAGAAGCUUGGAGCUCCAGGAUGAUAUCCGAGUAAGUGCGCUAGUAAGUAUUUGCUUUCCUCUUGUAACCCACUGGGGGUUUAAGCGAUAUACUCCAUACAGUAGGAUUAUUUUGCAGUGGGUUCACUCUGAGUGAACCCAGUGGGUGUAGUCCCCGAGACUUCUGUCGAGUGCUUGCACCGGCAGUUGUCUGUAUAUACAUUUUCUUUGACUUGAUCGGAUCAAAACUAAUCUGUCCGAAUGGUACCAGUGGGGGCACUCCGAGUGCACCUACUGGAAGUAGUCCCCGAGAGUAAUUUUACUCAGGUCGGGUAGUAGUAACGUCAUAGGCUUGUUUUUUGUUAUGUAGCUCAAUAGGGCGGACCUGUUCGAGCUUCAUGCCAGUGGGGUCACUCUUAGUGAACCCACUGGGUGUAGUCCCCGAGACCGCUGUCGACUGCUUGCGUCGGCAGGGGUCUGAAGAACUUUUGAGCUUUUAUUGUUUUCCUUGUUGAAUGUGUCUGAUCUUCUCUUCGCGCUGAUUUGCAGAAGACUUGCGAGAUGGGAUCAGCGUACAAUGCUCUGAAGGCUGAAAAGAUUCAUCUUGCUGCGGAACUGGAGGCAGUUGUGCAUGACUUAGCUGGUGUGAAGGGUGCUCUUGCUGAACGAGAGAAGUCCUUGGAGGAGUCCGUGAGGCAAACAAGGCAUUGGUGGCCGAAAUUGAGAAAAUGGGCAAGCAAAGAACUGAGCUGAUGGGUCAGAUGAAGUUGAUGAAUAGUCGGUGCAUAUCGCAGGAGAAGUACGUCAGUGACUGGGCAAGGAAGAUGAUUGCGCUGCUCGGUGGUAAGUUUUUCCGAGUGCUUCUUGACUUUGUAUUUCAUUCUGCGCUUACUUUCUGCUCGUCUUGUCUUUGCAGAUUUUUGUAUGGACGCUGAGGCUGAAGCAGCUGACGUUGAGUGGUCGGUUAUUCCGAACGUUCCACUCGGCGACGAAGCCAAUCGAGACAUGCUCCGAGCGCACAUUCGCCUUGGCAGAGUGGGACCUUUCAUCGGUCUCCCGAGAGAAGUCGUCGGCCGAAUCGACAAGGAGCUGUGGCCCGAAGACGAGUCCCGGCGGGAGAUAGAAGGGUUGAUGACUCGGCUGGAGGACGUCCCGAACCGAGUGCAGGCAUGGAAGAAGUCUGCUGCUCGCUGUGGUGCGGACGUGGCGCUGUCGCUCGUCUGAGUGCACUGCAAGGAAGCUCGCGAAGAGAAGCUGAAGGCGUUGCAGGUCACCAACACCAAGAAGCUUCGAUUCUAAGAUUUCAUGGAGACCUUCCUUGAUACCGCCACUCGCAUCGUAGACGAGAUCGACCUUGACACUUUUGUGGAGCCUGCCAGUCCCAGUGCCAGUCCUGACAGCGCAUGAAAAACUUUACCUCGGUAUGCCGAGUGGUAUUUGUAUCAAACUUUGGCCACUGCUGUUGGCCGUCACAUUCGUGGUUCGGUGUGUAUAAGCUUGAUCUACACCGAGCCGACUAUUGUUGAACCAACUUUGAAUUCGAAUCAAAUAUUUUGCUCUUCUUUCGCCGAAAUUUUUUUGACACGAUUUUGCCUCGUGGUUUCUUGGUGAAGCCAAUGGCAAACAUGCAGAGCAUGUAGUUGUCAGUUGUCUUCACAUCUGCAUGAGCCCCAAUGAGGGUCUGCUACGCCUCCGAGUGGAUCUCUAGGAUACGCUCGAAGGAAGCUUUUUACUUAGGCGAUUCGUGAUCGCAGCUAAUUCUUCGAGCGCGACUGUAAGGUCGAACUCGGAGCGAGUUGCUACUCAUGUAAUUGUCAGUUGUCUUCACAUCUACAUGAGCCUCAAUGAGGGUCUGCUAAGCCUCCGAGUGGAUCUCUAAGAUACACUCGAAGGAAGCUUUUUACUUAGGCGAUUCUUGAUCGCAGCCAAGUCCCCGAGUGCGACGUUUAGUGUACACUCGGAGAAAGUUUGUACUUAGGCGAUUCUGGAUUGCAGCUAAGUCCCCGAGUGCGACGUUUAGUGCACACGCGGAGAAAGUUAGUACAUAGGCGAUUCUGGAUCGCAGCUAAGUCCCCGAGUGCGACGUUUAGUGCACACUCGGAGAAAGUUAGUACUUAGGCGAUUCUAGAUCGCAGCUAAGUCCCCGAGUGCAACGUUUAGUGCACACUCGGAGAAAGUUUGUACUUAGGCGAUUCUGGAUCGCGGCUAAGUCCCCGAGUGCGACGUUUUGUGCACACUCGGAGAAAGUUAGUACUUAGGCUAUUCUGGAUCACAGCUAAAUCCCCGAGUGCGACGUUUAGUGCACACUCGGAGAAAGUUAGUACUUAGGCAAUUCUGGAUUGCAGCUAAGUCCCCGAGUGCGACGUUUAGUGCACACCCGGAGAAAGUUUUUUUUUGAGACCAGAGUCUGCCGACGCGGAAGAAUUUUGAAUCUGCAAAACCUCAAUCUGCUUUGUAUUACUUCAAUGAUACUUGUUCUUUACAUUGCCCCAGUCGGCGAUCACGUGUAGAAGCGCUUCAGGAGAUCUCCGUUCCAUGCUCGCGGCUCAUCCGUUUCCCUGUCGAGGUUGUAGAGUCGAUAUGCUCCGUUGUUCAGCACCUUGGAGAUGAUGAAGGGUCCUUCCCAGGCGGGAGCCGACUUGUGAGGUCUCUACUGAUCCACUCGGAGCACCAGGUCGCCUGCUUGGAAUGUACGACUCCUGACGUGCCAUGCGUGAAAUCGCCGCAGAUCUUGUUGAUAAAUGGUUGAGCGGGUCAGUGCCAUCUCGCGCUCCUCUUCUAGAAGACCCACUCCGUCUUGCCUGGCUUGCUCUGCUUCGGCUUCGGAGAAGAGUUUGACUCGUGGUAACGAUUCCGACAAUAGAAAGAGGGUAGGAUAACGGAGCAUGAUCUAUCAAGAUGCACAUGGGUGACACGGUGGUUUUAGCGAGUUCAGGCCUCUCACAGUGGAGAUAACAACCCUACGUCUCGUNNNNNNNNNNNNNNNNNNNNNNNNNNNNNNNNNNNNNNNNNNNNNNNNNNNNNNNNNNNNNNNNNNNNNNNNNNNNNNNNNNNNNNNNNNNNNNNNNNNNUGAGGUGCCCUUGGGUAGGACGUACUGGUCAGACCUAUGACCCUACCCUAGGGCUAUAUCCCCGUCAUUAGCCCCCGAAUGGAUCAGGGUCCGAGUGGUGAAGGUGUCGAUGUAAAUCUUGUAGCAGCAGACCGAACUUGAACGUGCUUCAGGGCCUUGCAAAAUUAUGCGUUGAUUGAAGUCUUCAUCAUUCGCCCUGAUCGAUUCCGCUGAGUAGUACGUCCGAGUGAACUUAAGAAUUGAAGUAGAUCCGAGUGACCAACAGGAUCUUGAGACUGUGACUGACUGCUGGUAGUCGGUUGGAAUCUAUUGAAUCUGUUGAACUUGGAUGUUGUUGGUGGACCUGACCAAGCAGAAUGUUUCUUUUUUGUUCUUCUCUUCUAGUGGGGGCACGCUAAGUGCACCCACUGGGUGUAGUCCCCGAGCCUCUGUCGGACUAGAAGAGUCCGACAGAGGGUUUAAGUCAUCCAAUGCUCGUCAUGUUGAAUGUUUGUUGUAUCUGCAUUAUAUGAUUUCUGGAUCAAAGUCAAGUCUCCGAGUGUAUUUUUUAACUUAGGCGAUUCGGGGUCGUAGCUAAGUUCCCGAGUGUGGAGCGUGUCUGUACUCGGAGUAGUUUUAACUUAGGCGAUACAGAGUCGCAGUGAAGCCCCCGAGUGCGGAGCAUGUCCGCACUCAGAGUUGUUUUUAACUUAGGCGAUACGGAGUCGCAGCUAAGCCCCCGAGUGUGGAGCAUGUCCGCACUCGGAGUAGUUUUUAACUUAGGCGAUACGGAGUCGCAGCUAAGCCCCCGAAUGUGGAGCAUGUACGCACUCAGAGUUGUUUUUAACUUAGGCGAUACAGAGUCGCAGCUAAGUUCCCGAGUGUGGAGCGUGUCUGUACUCGGAGUAGUUUUAACUUAGGCAAUACAGAGUCGCAGUGGAGCCCCCGAGUGUGGAGCAUGUCCGCACUCAGAGUAGUUUUGAACUUAGGCNNNNNNNNNNNNNNNNNNNNNNNNNNNNNNNNNNNNNNNNNNNNNNNNNNNNNNNNNNNNNNNNNNNNNNNNNNNNNNNNNNNNNNNNNNNNNNNNNNNNNNNNNNNNNNNNNNNNNNNNNNNNNNNNNNNNNNNNNNNNNNNNNNNNNNNNNNNNNNNNNNNNNNNNNNNNNNNNNNNNNNNNNNNNCCCCAAAGGUGGAGCAUGUCCGCACUCGGAGUAGUUUUGAACUUAGGCGAUACGGAAUCACAGCUAAGUCCCCGAGUGUGGAGCAUGUCCGCACUCGGAGUAGUUUUGAACUUAGGCGAUACGGAAUCGCAGUUAAGCCCCCGAGUGUGGAGCGUGUCCGUACUCGAAGUAGUUUUAACUUAGGCGACACGGAGUCGCAGCUAAGUCCCCAAGUGUGGAACGUGUCCGUACUCGAAGUAGUUUUAACUUAGGCAACACGGAGUCGCAGCUAAGUCCCCGAGUGUGGAGCAUGUCCGCACUCANNNNNNNNNNNNNNNNNNNNNNNNNNNNNNNNNNNNNNNNNNNNNNNNNNNNNNNNNNNNNNNNNNNNNNNNNNNNNNNNNNNNNNNNNNNNNNNNNNNNNNNNNNNNNNNNNNNNNNNNNNNNNNNNNNNNNNNNNNNNNNNNNNNNNNNNGGUCCGUACUCGAAGUAGUUUUAACUUAGGUGACACGGAGUCGCAGCUAAGUCCCCGAGUCUGGAGCAUGUCCGCACUCAGAGUAGUUUUGAACUUAGGCGAUACGGAAUCGCAGCUAAGUUCCCGAGUGUGGAGCAUGUCCGCACUCGGAGUAGUUUUGACUUAGGCGGCACCGAAUCGCAGCUAAGUCCCCGAGUGUGGAGCAUGUCCGUACUCGAAGUAGUUUUAACUUAGGCGACACGGAGUCGCAGCUAAGUCCCCGAGUGUGGAGCAUGUCCGCACUCGGAGUAGUUUUGAACUUAGGCGAUACGGAAUCACAGCUAAGUCCCCGAGUGUGGAGCAUGUCCGCACUCGGAGUAGUUUUGAACUUAGGCGAUACAGAAUCGCAACUAAGCCCCCGAGUGUGGAGCAUGUCCGCACUCGGAGUAGUUUCAACUUAGGCGACACGGAGUCGCAGCUAAGCUGAGCGGUGGCGCGCGAGGCAGCCGAAUGAUGAAGACGUGCCACACGGAGUGGCGACGCGCAUGGCAUCCGAGUGAGGUAGACGAUUCUGGCUGAGUGGCAACGCGCGGGGCGACCAAGUGAUGUAUGUUGAGGAGGCGUCCGACCCACUGACGGCACGCGGGGCGGCGUGUCCACUACGUCAUUGCGGGGGCUUCCGAACACGUGAAAACGCAUGAAUGAUCGUUGCGACGACUGAGCCUAAGCAGCGACGGGGAUGGCGCACGGAUGCGUCGAGUAACCUGUGUAUGAAAAAUAGCACAAGCCAACAUAAAAAAUUAUCAAAGUAAUAUGAUCUUUUCUGAAAUAGUUCGUGUAAAUUGCACCCAUAGACACCCAGUGGGUGUGCCACGUGAUUGCUGGUUCGGAACCAGCAAGAGUCUAAAAGAGUGAAGGAUCCGGCUGAACUCGUUUGAGUACUGGACCGAAACAAAGCGGAAGUGAAGUGUUCCCACAUAAAAAUAAAUAACCGAGUGCAGAGGUACACUCGGUGGCGUGGCAUCCGAGUGAACGUCAUGUGAGACUUCCUCGACACUCGGUAAUGCGGAAGCAACUAUUUAAUUGAAUGAAGCAUAUGGAGAAUGACUUAGCUUUCUGACGGCGCGGGAGCAGCCGAGUGAUGAAGGAGCGAUUAACUGAGUGAAGGUGCGCGGAGCGACCGAGUGAUGCAGGUCUGUCUCGCCGAGUGGCGACGCGCGGGGCGGCCAGGUUACGAAGGAGCGUCCAGUCAAGUGGCGAUGCGCAGAGCUGCCGAGCGACGAAGAUGCGUCCUGUUCGUUAGCUGACCGAGUGAAAAGGAGAAUCGGCCGAAUGAACCACAGCUGGGCCGCGAUCCGGUCGCCACACCAUCAGCCGAGUGUGAUAAACGAUGAGUCGGCCGGGCGGCGUUAUUUGUCUCAGUAAGCCUGCAAGUUUAGCAAAUACACGUACAUCCAAAAAUAUUUUUUGUUGGACUAAAGUGUCCACAUAUGGAUGCUAUUUUGCAAGAAGUAAAGACCACGGAUGGUUGCGCAUGCAUGCACGAAUUAACCGGUGUGGAAACUGAAAGGUAAGCAAUUUCAGACUUCAUGAUGAAAUAACAUCUACGUUACUCAUUUUAAGAGCGUGCAAUUAAGCGUGGGUGUUAAUCACCGCAUAACUAAGACCAGCAUGCUGCGUGUUAUACACAUGUAAUGGUGGGCCGGUCCUACCCAGGCACUCAAGCCGCGAGCGCUGCUGCAUGCUUUCCUUACAUGUGCACAUCCUGCUUCACAAACUGACGCGAUUUAUGGGCAGAAAUUGGUACAAUGGAGGAAGGUACUGUCAUGGUGGAGCGGACUGUCCUGGUUGUGGCGUUGUGCCUGCCCUAUGCCUCCACCGUAGAGGCGGCCACUGGACCAUCAACGUCGGGGACGCCGGUUGACUCUGCGGCUCCCCGACGCGUGGGCCACUACGACAGGGGAGACCCACGUGCUGGUUGCUGCGACCUGUCGCUCGAGGAGCCAGAGCGCCGGUCGAGCCGACGCCGUCGAGCAUUUGCCCAGAGGAAGGGAAGUGUCGCGGUUGAGCACGAGCGGCCAGCACCGACACGCGCGCGCAUCGAAGCCGUGUCUCUACCGCAGAGAUUACCAUCUGCAGUCGACCGUAUGGGGAAGUGCCACGGUCGAGGACGCGGCCAGCCUCGACGCCGGCACCGCGUCGGAUGGUUGAUGCUAUAGGGAGGAUUCGUCAAGUGUAGAUACAUGGCAAGUCCCGACAUUCGCACCAUGUCGGGUCCACGCUCCCAUCGAGGAAUCCGCCAUUGUGUAGUCGACUGGAGGAAGAGGCCAUCGAUAAUGGUGCUUGGACGCUCGGGAGCUGGAUCAUCGAUCAAGUUCCAGCUGAUGGCUGGAGGUUCACUGAUUGAAUUCUUCGUUGACAAAUAGCUUGUCUCCGAUGGAAAAUACCGAAUCAUCGUGGUGUUCCUGUUCUUGAUAGAAGUAAGAUGCAUCAAAAACAGAAAAAAUAGAUAUAAGAGCGAACACAAACCAUAUGCAUCAUGGCUCGAUAGACGCCACGCCCCACGGUGGGCGCCAAAUGUCGUGGUAACGAUUCUGACAAUAGAAAGAGGGUAGGAUAACGGGGCAUGAUCUAUCAAGAUGCACAUGGGUGACACGGUGGUUUUAGCGAGUUCAGGCCUCUCACAGUGGAGAUAACAACCCUACGUCUCGUACUUCGGAGAGGCUUUGUUUUAUAUGUCAUGGACCUGAGUUGCAUGGUGUAGAGAGAGAGAGCCAGAGCUCGAGGGAAAGAAUGAGCCCGNNNNNNNNNNGCUCCGCAGAGGCUUUGUUUUAUCUGUCAUGGACCUGAGUUACAUGGUGUAGAGAGAGAGAGCCAGAGCUCGAGGGAAAGAAUGAGCCCGAAGGAGGAGAAGAAGAAGAUGUCCCUAGCUAUGUGGAGGGGGUGGCUUAUAUAGAGUGCGCCACCUCCUCACCUCUUAUGUUACAAGAUGGGGCAUUGAUGCCAUAAUGUUAGCCCAUUACAGAUGUCUUGCCGACUGUUGGUAUUUGCAUGACCGAGUGAGUCAUAUGGCCGAGUGGUUGACUAUCAUCCGAGUGGAUGGAAUGUACUUGUCCGAGUGGAUCCGUACCGAGUGGAUUAGAUGUUGUCACGAUCCAGUAGGAAUUUCCCUUGUAGUCCUUCAACUAAUAAUGAGGUGCCCUUGGGUAGGACGUACUGGUCAGACCUAUGACCCUACCCGUCAGAUACCUUGGCCUGUACAAAAACCUUUGAAUCUGCCUGAGUCGAAAUUUGUGCCAUUGUCGGUGAUUAUGUUGUGCGGUACCCCGAAUCUAGAGAUGAUGUCCCUGACAAACUUGAUGGCCGUAAGGGCGUCGAGCUUCUUGAUGGGCUUGGCUUCAAUCCACUUGGUGAACUUGUCGACUGCCACCAACAGAUGCGUGAAUCCCCCUUGGCCUGUCCUGAAUGGACCGACUGUAUCUAAUCCCCACACUGCAAACGGCCAAACAAGAGGGAUUGUCUUCAGCGCGGAUGUUGGCUUGUGGGAUUUGUUCGAGUAGAACUGACAGCCUUCGCAUCGGUCGACCAUAUCCUUCGCCAUUUCAUUCGCCUGCAACUAGAAGAAACCAGCUCUGAAUUCUUUGGCGAUGAUUGCCCUUGAGGAGGCAUGAUGACCGCAGGUUCCCGAGUGAAUUUCUUCCAGGAUUAACUGUCCCUCCUCAGGGGAGAUGCAUCGUUGAAGGACGCCUGAAACACUUUCUUUGUACAAUUGGCCAUCAAUGACAGUGAACGACUUUGACCUGCGGACGAUCUGUCUGGCUUGGACCUCAUCUUGUGGUAAUUCUUGCCUUAGGAUGUACGCAAUGAACGGCACAGUCCAAUCGGGGAUAACCGCAAGAAUCUCCAUGAUCAGAUCAACCACAGCGGGGACCUCGACUUCAGUCGGAUCUGUCGAGCUCUUUGGUUGUACUGGUUCCUCUGUGAAUGGAUCUUCUUUAACUCAGGGAAGGUGUAGGUGCUCGAGGCAGACAUCACUCGGGACUAGUCUCCGAGUGGAUCCAAGUUUUACCAAUUCAUCAGCUGCUUGGUUUUUCAGUCGCGGAACAUGGUGGAGUUCCAGACCUUCAAACUUUUUCUCGAGCUUCCUCACCGCGUUGCAGUAUGUAGUCAUGGUGGGGUUCCUUACGUCCCACUCCUUCAUCACUUGAUUAACCACCAAAUCUGAAUCGCCAUAGACCAUCAGGCGACGGACGCCGAGUGCGAUGGCCAUGCGCAAUCCAUAAAGGAGAGCUUCAUACUCUGCCUCGUUGUUGGAGGAAUCGAAAUGUAUCUGCAACACAUACUUGAGUUUGUCACCUUUUGGCGAUAUGAUCACAACACCAGCGCCGGAGCCAUUCAACAUCUUGGACCCAUCGAAGAACAUUGUCCAAUGAGCCGAGUAGAUGUGAGUCGGUUGCUGUUGUUCUACCCAUUCUGCUAUGAAGUCAGCCAGAGCUUGAGACUUUAUAGCUUUCUUGGCCUCGAACUUGAUGUCGCAGUAUAACAUCUCCAUUGCCCACUUCGCCACUCGGCCCGAUGCGUCCCGAUUGUGGAGGAUUUCCGACAACGGAGCAUCAAAAACGACAGACACCGAGUGGUCUUGGAAAUAAUGAGCCACCUUCUUCGCAGUCAUGUAAAUCCUGUAAAUAAGUUUUUGAUAGUGGGGAUACCUCUGCUUGGAGGGAGUCAGGACUUCAGAGACAUAAUACACUGGCCGCUGAGCCUUGUAUGCUUUGCCUUCUUCUUCGCGUUCGACUGUGAGAACAGUGCUGACGACUUGAUUUGUAGUCGCGAUGUACAGAAGAAGGGGUUCUUUACUGAGCGGAGCAGUAAGAACCGGCUGGGUGGAAAGUAGGACUUUGAGGUCGUCGAAUGCGAUUUGGGCUUCGUCUGUCCACUCGAAAGUAUCUGAUUUCUUCAUGAGUCGGUACAGAGGUAGCGCCUUCUCGCCGAGUCGACUGAUAAACCUGCUCAAAGCCGCUAGGCAACCUGUGAGCCUUUGAACAUCGUGUAUUCUGACCAGCCGCUCCAUUCAGACGAUGGUCCCGAUCUUUUCGGGGUUGACAUCGAUCCCUCGUUCGAAAACAAAGAAACCGAGUAACUUUCCGCUGGGAACACCGAAUGAACACUUGGCUGGGUUGAGCUUGAUAUCGUACCUACGAAGGUUGGCGAAUGUUUCUGCCAAGUCAGUCAGCAGGUCGGAACCUUUGCGUGACUUGACUAUGAUAUCAUCCAUAUACGCCUCCACAUUUCGACCGAUCUGGUCAAGGAGGCAUUUUUGGAUCAUGCGCAUAAAAGUUGCUCCUGCAUUCUUCAAACCGAAUGGCAUAGUGAUGUAGCAGAAGCACCCGAAUGGGGUGAUGAAGGCUGUUUUUAAUUCAUUGGGGCCAUACAGAUGGAUCUGAUGAUAGCCCGAGUAGGCAUCAAGGAAUGACAAACGCUCGCAACCCGCAGUCGAAUCGACAAUUUGAUCAAUGCGGGGGAGCGGGAAAUGGUCUUUCGGGCAGACCUUAUUGAGAUGCUUGAAGUCGAUGCACAUUCGGAGAGACUUGUCCUUCUUGGGCACCAUAACAACGUUGGCGAGCCACUCGGAAUGGUGUACCUCGCGAAUGAAGUUGGCUGCCAAAAGUUUAGCCACCUCCUCUCCGAUUGCCUUCCUCUUGUGCGCGGCGGACCGACGCAAGCGUUCUCGGACAGACCGAGCAGCGGGAUCCACAUGCAGUCGGUGCUCAGCGAACUCCCUAGGUACACCUAGCAUGUUAGCGGGCUUCCAUGCGAAAAUGUCCCAGUUCUCACGGAGGAAUUGGAUGAGCUCGGCUUCCUAUUUUGGAUCGAGGGUGGUCGAGAUGUUCGUCGGGGCAGCGGUGUCGUCCGUCGGGUGGAUGCUGACCUUCUUCGUGUCUCCCGCCGACUGGAAUGCGGACUCCGAAGCUGGCUUAUUCGAACGCAUCAAGUCAGCGGGGUCGGCUCUCUUCUUGUACUCGUCGAGCUCGAGGAUAGCCAUCUGCUGAUCGGCGAUCCUCGACCCCUACUGCAGACACUCCUCGGCUCGCUGCCGAUUGCCUGCGACAGUGAUCACACCUUUGGGACCUGGCAUCUUCAGCUUAAGGUACACGUAACAUGGACGGGCCAUGAAACGCGCAUACGCCGGACGGCCCAGAAUCGCGUGGUAUGCACUCUGGAAGUCCACCACCUCGAAUGUCAGCUUUUCCUUGCGGAAGUUCUUGUCGGAGCCGAAAACGACGUCCAACGCGAUAUGGCCGAGUGACUUGGCCUUUCGUCCAGGGACGACUCCGUGGAAAUGCAUGCUGGUCUCGCUAAGUUUGGACAUCGGAAUGCCCGUCCCCUUGAGAGUGUCGGCGUACAUUAUGUUCAAGCCGCUGCCGCCGUCCAUGAGGACUUUGCGCAGUCGGACUCCUUCCACCACCGGGUCGACGACCAGAGCCUGCCUCCCUGGGGUGGGCACGUGUGCUGGAUGAUCCGACUGGUCAAAGGUGAUCGCAGUCUGAGACCAUUUGAGGAACGUGGGGUUGGUUGGGGUGGCCAUGUUCACCUCCCUGUUCACCAGCUUUAGUCGACUCUUGCUUUCCACGUCAGCAAAAAUCAUCAGUGUUGCAUGGACUUGGGGGAAUGGAUCCUCCUUCUCCUCCUCAUCUUGUUCAUUGUCCUUUUCACUCGGCUGCCCUUCGCCGAACCCUUGGAUCAGGAGGCGACAUUGCCGAGUGGUAUGCUUCGGAAAUAUGGCGUUGCCUUCUUCAUCCAUCUUCGUGUGGAUUGGACAUGGCUGAUCCAGGAUGUGGUUUCCGAACUGCUUCUUCUUGGGGGUGAACUGAGCCUUCCCCUUGCCCUUGAACUUGGCCUUGGUAACGGCUGCGACCUCUGCCUGCGGAGUGGACGGAGCUUUCUGCUUCUGCUUCCAAGUGCUGUUCCCAUCUCCAUCGGCGACUGCUUUAUGCUUGUCGCUACGAAUGCGGUCCUCUUCUUCGCCAUUUGCAUAGCGUGCCGCUAUCUCCAUCAUCUUGAUCAUGGAGAUGUCGCCUGUCCGACCGAACUUCAGGUACAGAUCUUUGUACCGCACGCCUGCCUUGAAGGCGCAGACUGCUUGGUGCUCUAUGACGUUCUCCACCGUGUGGUAGAGGGUUGUCCAACGCUGGAUGAAAUCGCGCAGGGGCUCAUUCUGCUUCUGGACACAGUGCUGGAGCUCCACGAGACCAGAAGGGCAUUUGCACGUCCCCUCGAAGGUCCUGAUGAAGACUCGGGCCAGAUCUGCCCAGCUAUAGAUGCUUGAAGGAGCCAACUGGUUCAACCACGCUCGUGCCGAGCCGUCGAGCAUCAGGGGGAGAUGUUUCAUGGCGACCUGGUCAUCUCCACCAUCGAUCUGGACCGCCACUCGGUAGUCGUCCAGCCACGUUUCUGGCUUGGAUUCUCCUGCAACUUGCUGAUCCCCGUCGCCAAUCGGAAGUUGGGAGGGAUGUCAGCCGAACGGAUGGCCCGACUGAACCACUCGGGGCCGGAGACGAUGGUCUUGCUUCCACUCGGACGGUCUCUAUCGUGACCAUCACGGUGGGCUCGGCUCCUGUCGACCUUCCUCUCGGCGAUGUACCCUCUUGCGUCGGGCCUUGGAUCAUAAGUGUCAUUGACCGAACGCCGAUCAUCAUGAUGUCGGGGCCCAUAGGGCCCACCCAGCGAAGGGGUGCGUGAACGGCGACGAUCCUCGGGAUUCAUGGAACGGUUGCCUCCUCUGUGUCGCUGAUGAGAAUCGGGGCUGAAAACUGACCGACGCGUGUUCGCGUGAACAGAACUGUUGUGGAUCCUGUUGUGCGACUCGGAGACCGCCGAAUUCUGCUGCUGCGCCGUGUGCAACAGGGCACAGAUCUGCUCGAUCCCUCUGCCAGCCUCUGAAUCAGUCGGCUGGAGGGAAUCGGCUAUCUUGGCGGCGGCACCCAGGUUGAGGACG